CCUUCAAAUGUGAUUUCACCGACAAAAGUGGAGAUUCAGCCGGAUAUGAUUUAUGGUGAGGAACUGUUUAAGAUUUUGGCACGAGAAGUUAAACAAUUGAUAAACAAAAGCAUUGCCUUGGUGAAAGUGUUAUGGCAAAGACAUAGGGUUGAAGAGGAUACAUGUGAGCCCGAGGAAGCCAUGAGGAAACAAUACCAAAACCUUUUUACUGGUAAGAUUUUUAGGGACAAAAAAUCCCUAAACGGGAAGAGUUGUAACAUCCCGAAUUAGGGUCUAGUCAGAAUAGUGGUUUUGAGACCACAAAUCUGAAAUAGAAAUAAUUAUUUUAUGAUAAUUUGAUGAUCCAUGAUAUGAUUGCAUGCUUGUGUGAAAUUUUCAUAAAGAAAUUUUAUGCCUAAGAUGUCCAAAUUGACUUUAGGGACUAAAUUGAAUAAGUUGUAAAACUUGUAUUUUAGAAGCUCCAAGCAUGAAAUUACAUUAGAUUAUUAAUUAGAGGUCCUUAAAUAGCAAUUUUACCAAGUUCUAAAAUUUUGGACAAAAAUGGACAAUAGGAAAAAAUUUGAAAAAAAGACCUUAAGGGCUUUUUGGUCAUUUGGUUAAUAAAAGAAUAAAAAGGGAAAAUAAGUAAAAAAUUUUCUCAUAUUCUCCAAUUGCUAGCUGAAAUUUCCAAGAGCCAUAGCUAGGCUUUUGUUCACCUGUUCAAGCUUGAUUGUAAGUACUCCUAAUCCCCAUUUUUAAUGUUCUUUACAUUUUUGAGAUCCUUGAAGCAUGAUUUAUCCAUUUCUAGCCAUAUUUUGAAGUAGGGUUCAUGUAUGAAACUUGACCCAUGUGUGACAUGGUUGUAUUUUGAUGUUUAAUAGAGGAAUAUGAAAGUUUGAUGUAUGAUAAACAUCUUUUAGUAAGUUAAUUUUAGUGAAAACACCUAAAAAGGACUUAUUUGCAAAAGAUGAAAAAAUGGGUAGUAGAAAUGUGGUUUAAUGUGAAAUAUGGGCUGGUACGAGUUAGAAUAUGAAUCGACUAGGCUUGGGUAACAAAGAAAAUGCAUGCAUUUCAUUUUUUGAUCCUAAGGACUAAAGUGUAAAUAAGUAGAAGUUAGGGGUAAAAAUGUAAUUUUACAAAAGUAUGUGUUAUGGGUUGAUAUGAGAAAUGUGUGUAUUGAACAAGUUAAAUUUGGCAUUAUAGAUCAAGAAAAAUGUGAUUUGGGUCUUGAUCGGGGGAAAAAUAAGGUUUAUGAGGAUAGGCUCGUUUCUAUCAUUUUGUACCGUGGUAAGUUCAUUUGCAAAUAAUGCAACAUGUACCAUAAUUUAAAUGCUUUAAUAUUGCAUGUAUGGUAAGUACAUACAUAUUUAAUGUGAUGUUGUAUAAUGUGUUUAUUGCCUAAAUUGUAUUAUGAAUUAUGCUUGACAAUCCCAUGAAUAUGUGAUUGGUGCUAUGAGUAUUGAAGUCGACGUUACGAGCAAGUUUGACAGAAAUGUGGUAUCAAAGAAUCCAGUUUGAACCUUAGGAGUAGUUUAAGAUACAAGUGACAUGUCACUUUGAACUAUGUGAUCUGGACUGAUUGAGUUGUGGUCUGAGUUCAUGAUAUAUGUGACAUAUGAACUCAGUGAGUUGUGGUCUGACUUCAUGAUGUAUGUGGCACAUGCUUUGGCAUCCGAGCACUGGUCUAGUAUAUUCUACCAGUGGUGAGGUAGUUUAUCAUGUGUUGCAAAUACCCAAUAGCCUAUGUGAGUAGACCUGUGAGAAGCUCAAAAGCGAGCAACAUGUGGUAUGUGAUAUGAGGUAGGAUUGGCUACAUAUGAGGCACUUAGGUGCGAGAUUCUGCUGUAUUUGAUAGUAUUCCGAGUGUUCAAUGGGUAGUUCUAAAGGAAGUUCAAUGAGUAAUUUUGAUGAAUACGUUGAAGACGAGAAAGUAAGCUAUUAUGUGCAAGUGGGCAUAGGUAUGUACAUCGAACUCAUGAGAAUGUCAUGAGAUAUGAUGAACUUAUGGUGAGAAUAUGAAUAUAUAUGUGAAGAAUGAGUUUAAGAGAUUUGAUAAAAUUCAAGAUUAUGUUCAUUAUGUUAAAUGCAUGAUUAAUAGUUAUUUAAGUUGUACUUUAUUUGCAUGUUAACUUACUAAGCUUUAAUGCUUACCCCCUUUCCUUUCUCUUUCUUAUAGUGUUGCCAAGCUAGCUCGGAGAUCAAAAGAUGUCGGAGACUCGAUCACACUAUCAAUUGAAUAUUUGGUAUAGCUAGUCUCAUCAUUUUGAGUAUGGCAUGUAUAGGGACUUGGUCUUUUUGUUACGUGUCAUAUUGAUUAGCCAAAUGUGUUGGCUCAUGAAAGUAUUAUGAUCAUUUUGUAUAUGGCCAUGAGAAGUGGCUUAUAUUGAGUAUUUGGGUUGUAACCCUAAUUAUUGGAGCAUGCAUGCAAAUAUGCUUAUGCUUUAAUAUGGUUAUGGUUGCUUAUGGUUAAUGAGUAUGAUGGAUGACAUGUAUGUUUGGUGUAUGGAAUAUGAUUAAUGUGUAUGACAAUAAAGGUGAUGCAAGUGGGUAACUUGAAAGUUGGUUAGUAAAGAUGAUAGACAAAUAUAAAAUUGGUGUGGAAUGCCAUAUGAAAGCAUGAUAGUUUAAAUAGGUAAUAUGUUGACAUUACCAAGCUAUAAUUUAACCAUGUGAAUGCUUGAAUAUACAAAUGUGCCAUGUUGCAUGCCAUGAAGUGAGUAUAAGUAUGUGAGUGUUUAAGGGUGGAAAUUGGCUUGGAAAAUAGCCUAGAAAUUGUCCACAUGGUUAGACACACGGAUAUGUGUCUUGGUCGUGUGUGACACACGGUCUGCCCCAUGGGCGUGUGAUCCAGCCACGUGUCCGCUGCACCCUAAUAUUGUAAAAUAGAUUGCUAGUAGUAAACACGUGGCAAGAGACACGACCGUAUGUCUCAUCCGUGUGAAGGACAUGGCCUUAGGACAUGGGUAUGUGCCCAGGCCGUGUGAAGUUUGUACUUGAUUUUUGGAAUUUAAUUCGCCACGCGGCCCAAGCACACGGGCGUGUGAGACCACACGGCCUACCCUCACGAGCAUGUGACUCUCCAAAGUAUGAAAAUUUUCUAAGUUUUCCAAAAGUUUUGAAAGUUCUCGGUUUAGUCCCGAACCACUCCUAAGGUUCAUUUUGGUCCUCGUAGGGCCAUAUAAGGGACGUUUUUCUUGUAAAUGAAAAGUUUUAAAUUUGGACAAAAAUUCUUGUCUCGGUUUUAUAUGUUUGAAGUGAGUUUAAGUCUGGUAAUGCCUCAAACCCUGUCCUGGCGUCAGAUACGGGUAAAGGGGUGUUACACUUAAUAUAAUAGGCAAAGCCAUCAAUACAAAUACGAGAGACCAACAAAUUCUUAAGAUCCAUGAUGAUAUCCAAACGAGCAAACCAACCUCGUUUCCUGGUCUUAGUCUUGUAGUCAAUCUUAAGUACAGUGCCCAAAACUUCUGCAAUUGCUCUCAGGGGACUUUUAGUGUAGAAUAUGUAAAUGAGACUAGGAAGUCGCACCGAAACUACCACCUUAUGUGACACCCUAAAUUCGAUCAAAACGGUCCAACUCAUAUCCAUAAGUGUCAUUAGUCACUUAUGGGACUACAUCAUAAACCAUGACACACAACACAAAAUUUUCAUGCAUAAUUAGCAAUCAAACUAUUCAGGAUAAUCAUACAAAUCCUAUAAAGCUUGCUUAUCUAACAAAAUCAUUCAAAAGUCAUUCGAGGGCAAAACUAUUAUUUUGCAUUCAUCAUAUGAAACACUUAUAAAUAAUAAUUUUAGAAAUACAUUUAAAAUCUAGAUUUACGUAAGAAACAAUAUUAAAAGAAUCAGUUUAAACACAUUAGUAAUCCUUGAUUAGUUUAAAAAAAAUAAAGGUUUUAGGGACCAAAUGAUAAAAACAACAAUCUAUACGAAGUAACCAUUUUACGAAACUAUAAGUAGCAUCACAAAAUUAACCAUCUAAACCUUAAUCAUACAAAUUUUCAAACCAUUUUAUAGCAUUUUUUGACUCCAAUUAAAUUACAUAAAACUUGGGACUAGAUUGCAAAGGAAGCAAAACAAGGCAUAAACACUCGAUAUGCCAUGUUAUGGCAACAUGAUUGCCAUGUUUUGACAUAAUUUGGAAGAGGGCUCUUGCCACGAAGAUGCCACUUUUGGCAUUUCAACAUCGAUCCCUCAUGUGACGUCGUCAAACAUCGUGGCAACAUCAUCUGCAAUUUCUAUAGAAAUAGCCCAACAUCUUGCAUUUGUCAUUUUGAGUCCUAACCAAACAUAUGAUUUCGUGCAUUUAGACCUAUUUCUCUAUUCUAACAUGUCAUGUUGCAAGCAUACAUCAUUCAAAACAAGCUCAAAAAAAUUUUAAUACACCUUAGCAAAAUUUGACACCUCGAGUAAUUUGUCAUGCUAGGAUACAAGUCCUUAACUUUACACUUAGUUAUACAACAUACCAUAACAUCCAUUCAUGCUUUCGUCAAGAUCCUAAAUGCUCAUUUUAGACCUAUUUGGCCAUUUAAAACAUACCAAAACAAACGUUUAAGAUAUUAUUCAACCAUUUUUGUCACAUUUUUAUCCAUGAUUUGUUCAAACCUUGAACACAAAACUUCAAUCAACAAUCAUGCAUCAUCAAAAUUAUUAUUCACAAGCAAUCAAAAGAUCACAACCCAAGUUUAAAGUCCUUAACAUAAGUCCUUAAAGUCCAUUUUACAGUUCCAAAAUUAAAAUAGUUGUAACACCCCUAACCCGUAUCCGUCAUCGGAACAGGGUUACAGAGUAUUAACGUAGUCUACUGAACAUUUACAGAUAAUUUAUACUAGUUACUAAACAUUUUCCGAUAUCGAGCAUAACUUCCCUUAAAUGGACCUUCGAGGCCCAAUGUGAAUAUUAGAAAUGAAUUGGGACUCAAUCGGGAUCUCAUAAAAUUUUCCUCACAAUUUUAAAAGUUUUGCUUAUGAACAGUACCCACACGCCCGUGUGGUCGGGCCGUGUGACUACACACGCUCGUGUUCCUAAACUGUGUAACUCUUUGACUUAUAAGGCACGAAGAAAUUAAAGUCACACGGCCAAGUUACAUGCCCGUGUGCUAUGUAACAACCUAUUUUUCGGUGAAAUUGGAACAAUGGUUUCGGGACCACAAAUUCGACCUAAAAAUAAAUCUUAUUUUUAUUUUAUUAUAUGGUCUGUAUUAUGAUAGACAUGUCGCGUGAAAAAUUUGAUACAGAAAUUUUAUUGAAUAAGUGUUUAAUUACGAGAAGGACUAAAUCGCAUAAAAUGUGAAAGUUGAAUUCUAGUAGCUAUAAGGAUUAAAUAGCUAUGGAAUUCAAAUCUAGAGGUCCUUAUAUGGUAAUUAGACCACUAAAGAAAAGUAUGUAGAUUUUUGGUGACUCAUCCAUGGAAAAAUUAGAAAAGGCUAGGGACUAAAUUGGAAAUUGAAAUAAUUAAUUAAUUAAAAGAUGAUAAAAAGAAAAUAUCAUCUUAUUUUUGUCAUCUUCAACCCCAAAAUUUUAUGGAAACCCUAGGAGAGAGAGAGAAGAAACUUUCAAGGCUUAAUUGGAUCCGGACAACAUAAAUUCGAAGAUAGAUCGAGGGAAAGAAAAAGUUUCGAAUUAGUAGAUUUUUACGCGAACAAGUGUCAAGGUAAGUUCGUGUAACUUAAUCGAGCUUGUAAAUAUGUUUAAUUGAAUGUUGUGUUUAUAUGGAAUGUGACUUAUAUUGAUGUACAUUAUUUGAAUGCUAUAAUGAAAAAUUUAAUACAUUCUUGAAAUGGUGAAAAAGAGUUAAGUCCUGAUUGAAUAUUGGAUUCCGAUGAUUAUAUGUGCUUCCCCGAAAUGAAUAAGGUCCUGCAUUUGUUAAGGACAGGAUUCAGCUCAGAUGAGCAAUCUUAUUGACCUUGUUAUAGAAAGGAUUUUGCCCUGACAAGUAAUCCUGAUAUAAUACCUCUUGAGUAUACGUUACGAUUAGGGUUUAGUCUAGACUGAUAAUCCUAAUUGAGCUCUUCUAAGCAUACGUUAUAUAAAGGAUUUAACCUGGACUGGUAAUCAUGUUAUACAAUAUAUGGCUCGAGAGUGUGAUCCUUGAUUAAGUGCCCUAAUAGAUACCCUCGAAUAAGACUUGACAGAUUAUGGAACCGUACACCUCGAGUGUACUACUUGAGCAUCCAUUGGAAUUUCAAUGAUUAAACAAACACAACUCUUAACAUGGUAAGAGAAUUUUGAGAUGAAAUGAUAAUGACUUAAAAGAAUAUUGCAUGGUGAGCUUAUCUAUGUUUACUUGAUUGAUAUGAAGAUUUUUGUGACUAACAAGUUUGAUUGAAUGCAUGUGUUUAGGCAAUUUUGCUAAUGGAUGGAAAGCAUGAUAUUGUAUGCUUAGAUUUAAUAAACAGGACUGGUAAGUUUAGUUUCUAUUAUACAAACUUACUAAGCAUGUAAUGCUUAUUCCAUUUUAUUUUCCCUAUUUUAUAGUGCUCGGAAGCUAACGAAGGUUGGAGGUCAUUGGAGCAUCGUCACACUAUCAUCUAGCUUAUUUUGGGUAUACUUAGCAAAAUCAUUUUGGUAUAAUGGCAUGUAUAGGACAACUUGGUCAUUAGUGGCAUGAAAAUGAUGUUAUGUAACCUAGCCAUUGGAAUGGCUAGUAAUGGCUUAUUUUGGUAUGAUUAAGUAGGUUAUUAUGAUAUAUUGAUAUGUGAUGCGUUAAGUAUAUGUGAUCAAAUGGUGUUAAUGCCUAAGUUAAAUCAAGGUAAGUUUAUAAAAACAUAUGCAUGUAAUGGUAUGCCAUGAUGAAUGAUGAAAUUGUUUAAUUUGAAUGCUUGGAAUGGCUGGUAUUGGAUGUGUGUUUCAAGUGCAAGUCUUGGGUGAAAGUUUGAGUGAGAAAUGAAGCUAGAAAUGGCUUCAUUUUAUCCACAUGGGCAGGCAAAUGCGUGUGUCUAGAACGUGUGUGACACACGGCCUGGUAAUAUGGGCAUGUGGUUAGGCCGAGUGUCCCCUGAACCUUAAUUUUGAGAAAUAGAAUGCUCAGAAUUAAGCACACGGGCAGAGACACGGGCAUGUGUCUCAGUCGUGUGUGCUACACAGUCUAGAACACUGGCGUGUGUCUUGGCCGUGUGAAACCUGCACCUAAUUUCUAAUUGGAUUAAUUAACCACACGGCCUAGCACACGGGCGUGUGGCAUGGCCAUGUGCACAAGUCAGAGAGUUACAUGGGGUCAAAUACAGCCUCUAGCACAGGCGUGUCCCAGGGACACACGGAUGUGUCCCUUGGACCACAUGGGCAUGUGAGCCCUACACCUUGGAAAAUUUUUGAAAUGUUGCAAAAAAUUCUUAGAGUCAUUAAUUAAGUCCCAACUCGACUCUAAUGCUCGUAUUAGGCCUUGAGGCUCCAAUUAAGGGACAUUUUAGAUUAUUUCGGUUAAUGAGUAGUAAUUUACAUUAAUUAUUUGUAAAAUGUUCUGAAAGUUCUAGUAAUGCUCCAAAAUCCUGUUUCGACGACAUAUAUGGGUUAGGGGUGUUACAUGCUAAGCCGUGUGGUAAAUUUUAUUUGCGAAAUUUAGGUGUAGUUUUCACACAGCCGUGUAAAAUGCCCGUGUUCAAGGCUGUGUCAACCGCACAGUGGAGACACAUGCCCGUGUCUUUGCCCAUUUGGCCAAUUCUGAGCAUUCUGUUUCUCAUUUUUAAGGGGACACACAGCUGGACCACAUGCCCAUGGGACAAGCCGUGUGUCACACACGGCCAAGACACACGCUCGUGUGUCUACCUGAGUAGACAAAAUAAAGUCAUUUCCUAGCCUCAUUUGUCACCCAAAACUUAUCAUUUUCUUGCACCCAAACUCCCAAGCAUAUAUCCACCAAUCCAACAUCAUAUUCACAUAAAAUUAGUCAUCAAUCAUGUGGUAUUAUCAAUGCAUCAAUGGAUAUAAACUUAUAUGCUAACAUAAUUCCAUCAAACCAACACACAGUAAGCAUUUGUGUAAUUACCAAAACAUAACUUUUAAGAUAACCAAAUUAGAUCAUCACUAGCCACUCCAAUGCCUAGUUUACAAAACAACAAUUACAAGCCAUCAUUGGCCAAAUAAGCUUAUACAAGCCAUUAUUCCAAAAUGAGAUUUCUAUUUAUACCAAAAUGUGAUAGUGGAUAGUGUGAUGAUUGCUUCAACCGACUUCCAUCCUUCGCAAGCUUUUAAGCACAAUAAAACAGGGAAAAUUAAACGGAGUAAGCACUUGAUGCUUAGUAAGUUCGUAUAACAGAAAAUAAACUUACCAAUCAUAUUUAUCAAUACAGCAUACAUUGUCAUACUUCCCAUAAAUUUUGGGUAAGUUUACCUAAACACAAACACUUAAUCAAACAAGUUAAUCACAUAACCUCAUAUAAGAAUUAAGUAAACAUAGACGAGCUCAUCAAAUUAUCAGCAUACAUUAAUUUCACCUUUCCACACUUCACGAGUCGUUUUCGUCGAACUAUUGAAAUUUCAAUGGAUGUUUGGGUAAUAUACUCAUGUGCAAAAGUACCCAUUAAGGUACAUAAUAUAAUGGCACACUCUUGAGUCGCACAUUUUACAGCAGGAUUACCAGUCCAGUCUAAAUACUAUCCGUAGCGUAUGCUCUAGAGAGCUUAAUUUGGAUUACCCAUUCGGGCUAAAUCCAAUUUAUAACCUAAGCUCAAGAGGGAUUACAUUAGAAUUACCCGUCUGGGCUAAAUUCUAUCUGCAACAUGUGCAGUAUUGUUCUUAUUCCAGAAUCACCUUAAUCCAUCAAAAUUCAACAUUUAUCCGGAACAUGACAAUUUGUCCAUAUUUCACAAUUUAUGACUAUUUUCUUAUGUAUCUCAUCUCAUACAUAUCAACACAAUCAUACAAUUCUAUUCAAUCAUAUUAACAUACAUACAUAAGUUACACGAACUUACCUUGGUAAUGGUUCGUAUUUGAAUUUCAACUAAUCUGAAACCUUUUGCUUUCCUCGAUCUAGUUCCAUAGUUGGUCAUUCUGGAUCUAUUUGGGUAAAUUUAACUAUUUGGGUAAAUUUAACUAUUAAUCUAUCACAUUUCAUAUACAUUUGCAUCCUAUUACAUCCUAGUCAAAAUUAUCAUUUUGCUCCUAUCUUUUUUAGAAAUUCUGAUUUCGUCCCUAGUCUUGGAAAAUGAAAUUCAUGAAAUUUAACCCUCUUUGCAAGCUUAACCGAAAUUUAUAUACUACAUUUACAGCACACACAUUUCAAAAUUUUCAAAAUUUUCCAUGGGUUUUACCACUUUUUCAUUUUAGUCCCUAAAUUAAGUUUUCAUCGAAAAUUACUUUGUAAAAGUUGUUUAUCUAUGAAUAACUUAUCAUUUUCUACCAUAAAUUUCAAAUUUUCUGCAUAGUCAUCCAUACCCAAAUUUCAUACCUUGAUAACUUUUCAAAUAAAUACCCUAAAUAGAAAGAUUAGAUUAUCCCGAUUCUAAAAAUAUAGAAAUUACUAAAAAUGGGACUUGAUUUCAUACCUUUUUAAGCUUGAAAAGUUUUCUUCCUCUCUCCUAGGGUUUCCAUAGAAAAAAUUGUGAAAGAUGAUAUGAAAAUAGAUGAUUUUUUUCUUUUUAAUUAAUUAUCAUAUAUUAAUUUUAUUGAUUUCCAAUUUAGUCCAUAACCCUUUUUUAAUUUUUCCAUGGAUGAGUCAUUAAAAUAUCUACAUACUUUUCUUUAAUGGUCUAAUUACUAUAUAAGGACCUCUAGUUUUGAAUUCCAUAGCUAUUUGAUACCUAUAGCUACUAGAACCCAACUUUUUCAUUUUAUGCAAUUUAGUCAUUUCCCUAAUUUAACACACAAUCGGUAAAAUUUUCAUGUGACCUUCCUAUCAUUAUGUCAACCAUAAAAUAAAAAUAAAAGAAAUUUUUAUUUUUGGCUCGGAUUUGUGGUCCCGAAACCACUGUUUCAACCUCACUGAAAAUGGGUUAUUACAAUAGUCUAGUCCCAUAAAAACAACCCAGAUUGUCUUUAUUAAUGAGUUCAAAAACCUCAACACAAACUCAACUAAGUUGCCUUGAAUAGAUCACUUUGCUUGCCCAGUUCCCCCUCUUCAAUUGAGAUAUCUCUCUACAAAAUAUGUAAACACGAGCGUGAGAUUUUCAAAACUCAGUGAAUGCUCAAGGAUGCCACAAUAAAACACAAUAUCCGAGGUUAAAGGAAAGCAUACUCAGGCAAACAAUCAUGACACUUUUAAGCAUAAUUCAAUCAAUUCACAAUUGAAAUAAAAUUACUUGUUUUUCGAGAUCCCACUAUAAAUUCCAUCCAUAUAGAUUUUGAUCGUUUGGCUACUCGUGAUAUGAAAAAUAUAUAUACAAAUGUAUCUCAUUAGAAAAACAAAUCUCUAACACACCAAUGACUCAAAGAGUCUAACAUGUUCUGUAACACCCCUAACCCGUAUCCGUCGCUGGAAUAGGGUUACGAGGUAUUACUGGACAAUAUAACUUUUACCAAACAUUCAAUAUCGCAUAUCAUUCAUUCACAUAGACGAAGUCCCUUAAAUAGGCCUAUGAGACCCUAAAAUAUGCUUAAGAGUGGUUUGGCACUAAACUGAUUACAUAAAAAAAUUUCUGAACACUUAGAUAAAUUUCAUGAAAUUAUAGGUCACAGGCACGUGUGAACAGGCCGUCUGUCUCACAUGGCCACCAGACACGCCCAUGGCUCAGGCCGUGUGAAAACAAGGCAUACAUACUGACUUGUACCACAUGGCCAAAGACACACCCAUGUGCCAUGGCCGUGGGAAAACUAGGGAGGUUACUGAAUUAGGUCACACGGUCGACCACAUGCCUCUGUGUCUAUCCUGUAUACCCUUCGAAAUGGCCACAAACACCCGUGUGCUAGGCCGUGUGCCAUUUAGAAGGUAUACUGACUUAUGUCACAUGGCCAGUCACACGCCCAUGUGUGAGUCCGUGUGACAUACACAGCCAAUUGACACGCCUGUAUGUCUAGGCCCUGUCAAUCCUGUAGGAUAUACUGACUUAAUUCGUAGGGUACCCCAAGGGACACAUGGCCGUGUAACAUGACCGUGUGUCACACACGACUGAGACACACGCUCGUGUCUCUACCUAUAUGGACAAAAAUAGGCCAUUUGAAAGGCCAAUUUGUCACCCUUUCCACAAGCACACAAAAUAACCAAAAUAUUUCCAUUUCAAUAUAUCUUUAAGCAACCAAAAAUAUAUCAAAUCAUUAAGCCAAACAUCACAAUUUACCUAAUUCCAAAUACAUUAACUCAUAAACUUAUCAUCUAUUUUAAGUCACUUAUUAUACUAUAUUAUCAUCUCAAAUCAAACCACAAUAUGCUAGCUUCCAAGCAUUAGCACAUCAAUUAAAAACUAAUCAAAAUAACCAACACAUAGUCACACCAAAUAAGCCAACAUAUAAGGUAUUAUAUACUUCACAUAUAUAACACUUACUAAACACACACAAACAUGUACAUCAUUUACAAACCAAAUCUCAUGGCUAAAGUCAUGGUUCAAAACUUAUCAACAUUUCACUAGCCUAUACAUGCCAUAUACCAUAAUUACAUGCUUCAAAAGUACCAACUAGUUGAUAGAUAGUGUGAUGAUACUUCUUGAUGAUCCCCGAGUCCAAGCUAGCUUUGAUAAUCUAUAUAACAGAGGAUGAAUACACAAAGUAAGCUUUAAAAGCUUAGUACGCCAUAUGCAAAUAAAUCUAUACCAUAAUCAACAUCAUUCUCAUCAAAGAAAAUUAUAUCUAAACACAUUUAUAUACACAAACCUUUCUCAAAGUACAUCUACUCCAAUUCACAUGUAAAUUCAUUAAAUACUUACUCUUUCCAAUUCUCUUAUGAGUCUCGUACAUACCUGAAUCACUUACUCAAUCACAUAUUGAAUCUUGACUUGACUUUGCCCUAUGAACUCUUCUGAAUCACUAAGGAUACUUGGAUAUCUCGUAAAGCUCGAACAAUGUCAUAUCCCAGAUAUAGUCUUACUUGUCAUCAUAUAUCGAUCCCAAUGUCCCAGACGUGGUCUUACACGAAAUCAUAUAACGAUGCCAAUGUCCCAGACAUGGUCUUACACGUAAACACAAUCCUAUGCCAAUGUCCUAGACAUGGUCAUACAUGUAAUCUCAUCUUGAUAAACCUAAUGUCAUAACAUUUGCAUCCUAAGCAUUCCUAAAGUUCGUAUGGGACUUUCGGACGUCAUAAUUCUAUCAUUUCUUACUCGUAGUUUCUCGUUCAUACUCAUUGCAAUUCAAUGACAAUUAAUACAUAUCUAAUUCAAUUGAAAAGCAUGUAAUUGCAUAUGGACUUACCUCGUAGUCCAAAAUAACAGAAGGGGUUGACUAUUCCUCUACUUUCGAUUUUCCCUGAUCAAAAUUUGUUUUCCUUCGUUCUUGAUCUAUAUACAUUCAAAAUUAACUUAUUUAAUCACCUAUUCAUUAAAUUUCAUCCACAAACACAUAUUUGGGCAUUUUUACACUUUAUCCCUAAACUUUCACAUUUCCUACAAUUUAGUCCUUAUUGUAUAAAUACACAAAAUUCACAAAAUUCAAUAAGACCCAUGCUUGGCCGAAUUACACUUAUGCCCUUAGUAGCCCAUAUCUUUCAUUCAUUUCACAUUUUAACCCCUCAAUUUACACUUUUCUGAAUUCAAUCACUAACUGACAUUUUUGUCAAAAAUCACUUUACAAAACAUGUAUAUCAAACACCAAUCUUGCAUAAUUCAUCAUUAAACAUUCAAGAACAAAUGAAUUCAUCAAUGGCAACUUUCGCAAUCAUCAACAUUUUCAAAAAUUGAGGUGUGGGCUAGUCAGUACUCAAAGCAACUAUCACAGAAACGUAAAAAUCAUCAAAAACCGAGCAAAGAACAUAUCGUAAUCAAGAUCAAUGUGUGUCAAAUACUAUUGCCUUCCAAAACUCUAUUGUCCUUUUGUUAUUCGGUUGCCAAAGAUGAAUGAACACAAAUUUUUAGUUUUGUUAUAUUAUAAUUAUAACUUAAUAAUCAAUUUACUAAUAUAACCUUAUUAUAAACCUUUUAAAAACAUCAUAUUAAUGUCCAUAUAUGUCAAAUUUCACUAUCAAAGGUCUAAUUAUAACAUAAGGACCUCUCAUUUAAUAAGCCCUGACAAUUAAGCACUUUUAACUUAUAGAAUGCAAUUUUUGCAUUUUAAGUGAUUUAGUCCUUUAGUCAAAUUAAUUAAUUAAAUGAUAAAAUUAUCACACAAAAAUUUCACACAUAUAUAUUCACAUACUGUAAGCACCAAAAAUUUUAAUAAAAUAAUUUUACGAACUCGGAUUUGUGAUUCUAAAACUACUAUUCUGAUUUAGCUAAAACUGAGCUGUUACAACUCUCCCCCAUAGGGAUUUUUGUCCCCAAAAAUCUUACCAAUGAAUAGGUUUGGAUAUUAUUUUCUCAUAGCAUCCUCAGGUUCCCACGUAGCUUUUUCAACCCCGUUUCGAUGCUUCAUUAAUGCAAUUUUCUUAUUUCUUAACUCUUUGAUUUCAUGAGCUAGAAUUCGAAUCGGUUUAUCUUCGUAUGUCAUAUCGGACUGAAUCUCAAUCUCAGAGGUAAAAAUUACAUACGAGGGAUCGGAUCUGUAACAUCGAAGCAUUGAUAUGUGAAAUACAUUAUAAAUCUUUUCUAACUCAAGUGGCAACAAAAAUUUAUAAGCAAUCGGCCCAAUACGCUCAACAAUCUCGUACGACCCAAUGAAUCAUCGGAUUGAAUCUCAAUCUCAGAGGUAAAAAUCACAUGCGAGGGAUCGGAUCUGUAACAUCGAAGCAUUGAUACGUGAAAUACAUGAUGAAUCUUUUCUAACUCAGGUGGCAACAAAAAUUUAUAAGCAACCAGCCCAAUACGCUCAACAAUCUCGUACGACCCAAUGAAUCUAGGACUUAACUUGCCUUUUCUACCAAAUCCAAGUAUUUUCUUCCAUGGAGACACUUUCAAAAAAACUUGAUCUCCGAUUUGAAACUCAGUAUCUUUUCGUUUCAAAUCUGCGUACGAUUUCUAAUGAUCUGAUGCUGCUUUUAAGUUUUCACAAGUCACUUUCACUUCCUAUUCCAUCUCAAAUCAACCCCGUGAAUCUUAUUCUCACUGAGCUCAGUCCAAUACAAAGAUGUUCGGCAUUUGCGAUCGUACAAUGCUUCGUAAGGUGCCAUUUUUAUACUCGAUUGAAAACUAUUAUCAUGCCCAAAUUCAACCAAUGGAAAGUAUCAUUCCCACGUACCUUCAAACUUAAGAAUGCAACAACUCAACAUAUCCUCAAGUAUCUGAAUAAUUCACUUGGAUUGACCAUCUGUUUGCAGAUGAAAAGCAGUACUAAAGUGUAGCUUUGUACCCAGUGCAUCUUGUAAUUUCUUCCAAAAACGUGAUGUAAAUCUCAAAUCUCUAUCUAAAACAAUAGAAAUAGGUAUUCCCUUUAAUCUUACAACCUCAGAAAUGUAGAAGUUAGCUAAUUUAUCGAGCGAAUAAUCUGUUCAUACCGGAAUGAAAUGAGCUGAUUUGGCCAGUCUAUCAACAAUCACUUAUAUCGCUUCUUUCUUACUGAGAGAUAGGGGCAAACCCGAUACAAAAUCCAUAGUGAUUCUGUCCCAUUUCCGUUCAAGAACCGUAAUAAACUGUAGUAACCCAGACAGAUUAAGCAUUUCGAAACAAAUUUAGAGAUAUCACGCUUCAUACCAGGCCACCAAUAAAACUGUCUUAGAUCGUUAUAUAUUUUCGUACUUCUCAGAUGAACAGAUAACCAACUGCUAUGAGCUUCAUAUAAAAUCAUCUAAUUCAACUCUAAAUUUCUUGGAAAACAUAUUCGGUCUCUAAAUCUUGAACAAUCAUCAACAUCAACUCAAAAUUCUGAAUUAAAAUUCAAAUCACAUUGAGGUCAUUUUGCUAACAAUUAAUUAUCAACUUUCUGAGCUUAGCAAAUCUGCUAUAUAAAUAACUGUCUUACUUUUAACUCAGCUACAAUUGAGCCGUCAUCAGAUAGAGUCAUCUGAGCAUUCAUCGCACCUAGUGCAAACAAAGAUUUUUUACUUAUAGCAUCAGCCAGAACACUAGCCUUUCCCGGAUAGUAGUAAAUCACUAGCUCGUAAUCUUUCAACAAUUGCAACCAUCUCCGCUGUCGCAAAUUCAAGUCUUUUUCAGUCAUCAAAUAUUUUAAGCUAUUAUGAUCAGAAUAAACAUGACAUUUUUCACCGAACAGAUAAUGGCGUCAAAUCUUCAACACAAACACAAUAGCUGCUUGUUCCAAAUCGUGCUUUGGGUAAUUAUUUUCAUGCGUUUUCAAUUAUCUCAAGGCAUAAGCUAUGACUUUUCCUUCCUACAUCAAAACAUAGCCCAGACCAUUCAAUGAUACAUCACUAUAAAUUAAAAAUUCUUUACCUGAUUCUGGCUGAACUAACACUGGAGCUUCGGUCAAUAAAGCUUUCAGCUAAUCAAAACUUUUCUGGCACUUGUCUGACCACUCAAACUUAACAUCUUUCUGAAGUAGUCUCGUCAAUGGAGUUGUAAUCAUUGAGAAGCCUUUUACGAAUCGCCUGUAAUAACUAACGAGUCCCAGAAAACUUCAAACUUCGGAUACAUUUCUCAGAGGCUUCCAAACUAAUAUUGUCGAAAUCCUUCCCAAAAAACUGACUUCGUGCAACCAAAAUUUGCAUUUACUAAACUUCGCAAACAACUGCUUAUCACGCAAAGUCUGUAGCACUAUUCUCAGAUGUUCGGCAUUCUCGAAUUCAUCACGAGAAUAAAUUAAGAUGGCAUCAAUAAACACAACAACAAAUCUAUCCAAAUACGAUCUAAAGAUCCAAUUUAUUAGAUCUAUAAAAAUAGCAGGUGCAUUUGUUAGUCUGAAAGGCAUAACUAAAAACUCAUAGUGUCCGUACCUCAUUCGAAAAGCAGUUUUCAGCACGUCAGAGUUUUUAACUCGCAACUGAUAGUAACCUGAUCUCAAAUCUAUCUUUAAAAACACUGUAGCCCCUUUCAACUGAUCAAACAAAUCGUCUAUUCGUGGUAGAGGGUAUUUAUUCUUGAUAGUCGAUUUUUUGAGUUGUCGAUAUUCGAUGCACAUUUUAAUAGUUCUGUCUUUCUUUUUCACAAACAAAACCAGUGCACCCCAGGGAGAAUAACUCGGUCGUACGAAACCUCUAUCUGUUAACUCUUGCAACUGAGCUUUCAACUCUUUUAAUUCAGUCGGUCCCAUUCUAUACAGAGCUAUCGAUAUCAAAGUUGUUCCCAGCACUAACUCAAUACCAAAUUCAACUUCUCUAAUCGGUGGUAAACCCUGUAACUCUUUAGGAAACACAUCCAAAUAUUCACAUACAACUAGUACUGAUUCAAUCUUAUUUUCAGUCACUUUAGUGUCGAGCACAUAAGCAAAAUAAGCUUCACACCCUUUUCUCACAUAUUUUUGAGCUAACAUCGAAGAAAUCACUGCCGGCAACCAUUCAAGUCAUUAAACUCAAUACAAAUUAUCUCACCAUUCUGACAUCUCAGAUCAAUUGUCUUUCAUUUGUAGUUCACUAUUGCAUCAUGCAGUAUCAACCAAUCCAUACCCAUAAUUAUAUCAAAUUCGUCGAAUGGAAACAAUAUCAAAUCGGCCAGAAAACAGGAAUCUCAAAUCAUCAACUGACAGUUCUUGCAUAUUUUAUCAACCAGAACACACUUGCCUAAUGGGUUCAAUACUCUAAUCACAAAUUUAGUAGACUCUACAGGCAAAGUCUUACUGGAUACUAAGUUUAUACAUAUACACUAAUGAGUAGAUCCAGGAUCAAUUAAUGCAACAACACUAGUAUCAUAGAGAGUGAAAGUACCGGUAAUAACAUAUGGAGAUGAAGCUUCUUCGCGAGCACAAAUAGCAUAAGCUCUAGUAGGUACUCGAGCUUCAGAUCUCACAGCAGUGACUUUAAUAAUUAUCUGGCUACCACUCACAUUAUUUGUGUUUCUAGGUUGUCUACCUCUAGCCGUAGUGUUGCUCGGCCUCUUAUUCUGUAUUAUAUCUUGCUCAGCCAACUCAAGAUAUUAACGGAUAAAAUGAUCUAAUGAUCCACAUUUGAAACAAGCCCAAUCAUUCCAUCUACAAUUGUCUGGAUGUCGUUUACCAUAAUUUUUGCAUUCAGGUUGAUUUGGUCAGACAUUUCCAACACUAGCUAUUGAAGUAACUUUUGAACUCAUAAGUGGCCUCUCUCGAUCUCAUCUAGAAUAACCAGCAUUAGACUUUGAACGGCUAAAAUCAUUUCGGAAUCUCUUUGAUGUCGACUGAAAUGACUUACUUGAUGAUCUUUUACAUACUUCUCUAGCUUUUGAGUCAACUUUGCUUUUCUCUUUCCCGAGUUCCUUAACUUUACACGCUCGUUCGACAAGCACAACAAACUCUUUUAUUUCCAAAAUCCCAACUAACAAGUGAAUAUCUUCAUUCAAACCAUCUUGAAAUAUCUUGCACAUAAUUGCUUCGGUCGAAACAUAUUCUCAUGCAUAUUGACUUAAUCGCACAAAUUCUCGCUCAUGUUCCGUAACAAACAUACGGCCCUGUUUUAGCUCAAGUAACUUUUUAUGUUUCUAAUCUAUGAAUCUCUGACUGAUAUACUUUUUUCUAAACUCAGUCUGAAAGAACUCCCAAGUGACUCAUUCUUUCGGAACCAUAGAUAUUAACGUUUUCCAUCAAUGAUACGCCGUAUCUCUCAGAAGUGAAAUAGCACAUUUAAGACAUUCAUCAGGAGUACAUGACAAGGACUUGUGGAGGAUUAGACAGGGUUGAAGGUUGUGGAGCAGCCGGAUUAGUUCUAAUAUACUGAGUGAACCACUCAUUCAUCAUCAAGAAGAAGGCUUGCUUAGCCUCUCCCUCGUGGCUAUUAGAUACAAGUCUAGAAUCAGAUUGUACUGCCCCUUGAGCAGGAGCGGGUGCAUUACUUUCAACAUCGUCAGCUACGACUCGAUUGGGAUCCAUUUGCUAUAUAAAAACACAUUUUAAUUGUCAGGAAUCAUCACACUAUCGUAUUUUACAAAUAUGGCAUGUAUAGCUAGACUCACACGCACUACAUUAGUCAUAGAAUCGACUAAACUGUAGCUCUGAUACCAAUAAAUGUAACACCCCUAACCCGUAUCUAUCGCCGAAAUAGGGUUACGAGGUAUUACCGAAAAAUAUAACAUUUAUCAAACAUUCAAUAUAACAUAUCAUUCAUUCACAUACAUUAAGUCCCUUAAAUAGGUCUACGAGACCAUAAAACAUGCUUAAGAGUGGUUCAGGACUAAACCGAUUACAUAUAAAAAUUUCUGAAUAGUUAGAAAAAUUUCAUGAAAUUAUAGGUCACAUACCAGUAUGAACAGACCGUGUGUCUCACACGGCCACUAGACAUGCCUGCGGCUCAGGUCGUGUGAAAACAGGGCAUACAUACUGACUUGUACCAUACGGCCGAAAAAACACCCAUGUGCUAUGGCUGUGGGAAAACUAGGGAGGUUACUGACUUGGGUCACACAGCCGACCACACACCCGUGUGUCUAUCCCGUGUACCUUUCGAAAUGGCCACACACGCCCGUGUGCUAGGCCGUGUCCAUUUAGGGGGUAUACUGACUUAUGUUACACGGUCAUUUACACGCCCGUGUGUGAGUUCGCAUGACACACACGGCCAUUAGACACGCCCGUAUGUCUAGGAUAUACUGCCUUAAUUCGUAGUGUACCCUAGGGAACACACGACCGUGUAACAUGACCAUGUGUCACACAUGGCUGAGACACACGCUUGUGUCUCUGCCCAUGUGGAUAAAAAUAGGCCACUUAAAAGGCCAAUUUGUCACCCUUUCCACAUGCACACAAAACAACCAAAAUAUUUCCAUUUCAAUACAUCUUUAAGCAACCAAAAAUAUACCAAAUCAUUAAGCCAAAACUAUCACAAUUUACCUAAUUCCAAAUAUAUUAACUCAUCAACUUAUCAUCUAUUUUAAGUCACUUAUUAUACCAUAUCAUCAUUUCAAAUCAAACCACAAUAUGCUAGCUUCCAAGCAUUAGCACAUCAAUUAACGACUAAUGAAAAUAACCAACACAUAAUCACACCAAAUAAGCCAACAUAUAAGGUAUUAUAUACUUCACAUAUAUAACACUUACCAAACACACAUAAAUAUGUACAUCAUUUGCAAACCAAAUCUCAUGGCUAAAGUCAUGGUUCAAAACUUAUCAACAUUUCAGUAGCCUAUACAUGCUAUAUACCAUAAUUACAAGCUUUAAAAGUACCAACUUGUUGAUAGAUAGUGUGAUGAUGCUUCCUGACGAUCCCCGAGUCCAAGCUAGCUUUGAUAAUAUAUAAAAUAGAGAAUGAAUACACAAAGUAAGCUUUAAAAGCUUAGUAAGCCAUAUGCAAAUAAAUUGAUACCAUAAUCAACAUCAUUCUCAUCAACUAAGAAAAUUAUAACUAAACCCAUUUAGAUAGACAAACCUUUCUCAAAGUGCAUCCAUUCCAAUUCACAUGUAAAUUCAUGAAAUACUUACUCUUUCCAAUUCUUGUAUGACUCUCGUAAGUACCUGAAUCACUUACUCAAUCACAUAUUCAAUCUUAACUCAACUUUGCCCAAUGAACUCUUUGAAAACACUAAGGAUACUCGGAUAUCUCGUAGAGCUCGUACAAUGCCAUAUCCAAGAUAUGGUCUUACAUGUCAUCAUAUAUCGAUGCCAACAUCCCAAACGUGGUUUUACACGAAAUCAUAUAAUGAUGCCAAUGUCCCAGACAUGGUCUUACAUGUAAACACAAUACAAUGCAAUGUCCCAGACAUGGUCUUACAUGUAAUCUCAUCUUGAUAAACCUAAUGUCAUGACAUUUGCAUCCAAAGUAUUCCUAAGGUUCGUACGGGACUUCUAGACAUCGUAAUUCUAUCAUUUCUUCCUCGUAGUUGCUCAUUCAUAAUCAUUGCACUACAAUGACAAUUAAUACAUAUCUAAUUCAAUUUAAAAGCAUGUAUUUGCAUCUAAACUUGUCUCAUAGUCGGAAGUAACGACGUGGUCGAAUUUUUGUCUACUUUCAAUUUUCCCUGAUCAAAAUCUGUUUUCUUUCAUUUGAUCUAUAUACAUUCAAAAUUAACUUAUUUAAUCACCUAUUCAUUCAAUUUCAUCCACAAACACAUAUUUGGUCAUUUUUACACUUUAGCCCUAAACUUUCACUUUUCUUGUAAUUUAGUCCUUACUUCAUAAAUACACAAAAUUCAAUAAAAUUCAAUAAGACCCAUGCUUGGCCGAAUUACCCUUAUGCCCUUAGUUGCCAUAUCUUUCAUUUAUUUCACAUUUUAACCCCUCAAUUUACACUUUUCUCAAUUUAAUCCCUAAUUGACAUUUUUAUCAAAAAUCACUUUACAAAACAUGUAUCCCAAACACCAAGCUUGCAUAAUUCAUCAUUAAACAUUCAAGAACACAUGAAUUCAUCAAUUGCAACUUUUAGAAUCAUCAACAUUUUCAAAAAUUGUGGAAUGGGCUAGCUAGUACUCAAAGCAAAAAUUGCAAAAACGUAAAAAUCAUCAAAAAUCAAGCAAAGAAAUUACCUUAAUCAAGAUCAAUGUCUAAUAGCCUAACUUUGGGGAUAGUCGAAACAGUGGUUUUAGAACCACUAACCCGAGGUUAAGGAAAUUAUUUUUUACAUAUUAUUUUAUGUAUUGUAGCAUGAUUAGAUAAGUACAUGAAAAUUUUGGUGAAUAAAUUUUAGCGAUUGCUUGCUUAAUUGCGAAAAAGGACUAAAUCGCAUAAAGUACAAAAGUCUUAAAUUGUUAGCUAAAGGUGUUAAAUUGCUAUGAAUCUUAAUUUGGGGGUUUUUAAAGGACAAUUAUACCCUUUCCUAAGAACUUGGCCGGCCAUAGGGAACAAUUUGGCCAAAAAGUAAAAGGUUUAGGUGGUUUGGUGACUUAAUUGAAUAAAAUAAGACAAGAUAACUUCAUCCUUUCAUUCUUUUCUCCUACCAUCGGAAUUUUCAGCCAUUAGAGGGGUUUUUGAGCUUCAAAAUUUCAACAACUCUAAGCCUUUGCAAGUAAGUGAUUCUUAUUAGUUCUCUUAAUGAUUUUUACAUUUUUGGACCCCUUGAAGCAUGAGCUUUCAAAUGAGGGGACUAUUUUGCAAGAUAGAUAAGAGUCUAGGAUUUUACCAUGAAAGCAUGUGUGUUGAUAACUGAAAUUUUAUGGAAGAAUAUGAGUCUUAGAUGGGUAAUAAAAAAACUUUUGUGAAGGGAUUUCUUAUGAAAACCCUAUUAGGGACUAUUUUGUAUAAAUUGUAAACUAGAUGAUAAAUGUGAGAAAUAGUGCAAAUUUUGGAUUUCGAUAAGAGUAAAAAGGGUUCGACUAGGCUUAUUAUAUAAAGAAGUCUGAUAAAAAGAUUGAUUUUCGAGCAUAGGGGUAAAAUGGUCAUUUUGUGAAAGUAUAUAGAAAAAUAGUCAUUUUGCCCUAUUAUGAAAUUUGAGUGUAUAAAUCAAUGUGCUGAUGAAAUAAAUGAAUUUGAUUAAUUUAGAUCAAGAAAAAUGUGAUUCGGGUCUUGAUCGGGGUAAGAAUAAAGGUUACGAGGAUUAAGCACGUCUUCAUCAUUUUGUAUCGAGGUAAGUACAUAAGUAAAUAAUGUGUUAACAAAAGUUAUUUAAAACUACCUUGAUAAUGUACAUGUGCAAUUAGCUUAUUGUGGUUAUGUACCUAAAGUUUAAAUUGUUGCCAUGAAUGUGUAACUGACAUGUUCUUCGAGUAUAAAACAUUGCGAGCAAAUGCGAUGCUAUUCGGUUAAACAUGAAAUCCCAUUGAACCCUAGAUAUAGCAUAGGAUACGAAGGGGUAUGUCAUGAAAAUUUUGUGGUCUGAACUCAUGAGUUGAGUCUGAGUUCAUGAGAUGAUUUUUAUAGGUAACAUGGGCCCGGGUACUGCCUUUGUGCACAGGCCGGUGAGUGGCUCAAUGAGCAAACGUUACAUAAUAGCCAUGGGGUCCGGGUCCUUACUUGAUAAAAAGGCUCGUGAGUAGCUCAAAUGUGAGAACAUCAUAGUAUGAGGUAGCCCUAACUAUCUAUAUGGCAUUUAUAUGAAAAUUUCCUACGUAUUCGUAUGUAUUUCGAGCAUUCAACGACUAAUGCAAAGAAUUAGUUGGUGAAAUUUUGAUGAGGUACAUAGGCUAAACUCAUGGAUAAAGCCUGAUUCUAUGAUGAGAUGUCUUUAAGCAUAUAUGAAUGAAAGGAAGAAUAAGAUCAAGAAGUCUAAGUGACUCAAAUCUUUAAUACAUGUCAAUUUAUCAUUUGAUAAAUAUGUUUUCUUUUAAUUACACUUUAUUUGCAUUUAUGUACUUACUAAGCUUACAUGUUUACCUUCCUUUCUUUUCUUUCCUUAUAGCGCCGCCAAGCUAGCAUCGGGGAUCUAGUAAUGUCAAAAGCUUCGAUCACACUAUCACUCAAUACCUUAGUAUAGUUAGUUUAAUUUUUUUGUUUACUAGCAUAUAAAAGGUCUCGAGUCUUUUGUUUAGCAAUUUGUUAAGUAGCCAAAAUAUGUUGGCUCAUAUGUGAUUAUGAUACUCAUUUUGUAUAGGACAUGAAUGUUGGCUAAUGCUAAUUAUUAUUCAAUGUGAUGAUGCAAAUUUCUAAUGGUUAUGGUUGUUUUGGUUAUGCAUAUUAUGUUGGUAUUGAACUUGGUUGAUCUUAUAUAAAUAGAUGUUUGUAAGGGUGGCAAAGAGGCUUGGUAAAUAGCCUCAUUUUGUCUACACGGGUAGACACACGGGCGUGUGUCUAGGCCGUGUGUGACACGCGAUCAGCCCCAUGGGCGUGUUGUUCAGCCAUGUGGCCCCUACAGGUAAAACUUUCAAGUCAGUAUGCAUGGUAGUAAACACACGGGUAGAGACACGGUCGUGUGUCUCAGUCGUGUGAAGGACACAACCUAGCACAAAGGUGUGUGCCUUGGCCGUGUGGCCCUUAUGGAUUGUUGACGUCAGAAAUAGAAUGUCCAAGUUUUUACACAUGGGCUAGCACACGGGCGUGUCCUAGCUGUGUAAAAGACACGGGCCAGGGACACGGGUGUGUGCCAGGCCGUGUGAAAACCCUGUAGGUGUACAUUUAAAAUUAAUUCCACACGGGUUCAAGAUAGGGGCGUGUGCCCCUGUGUUAUGUGUUAUUUUUAGGGUCCGUUUAAGACCCCAGAUUAAUUCUUAAUGGGUUUCAAUGAUUGUUUUAAACCCCGUAAGCUCUUAUUAAGGAGUUUAUAUUUGAAAUUGAAAAAGUUUUAAUUUGACCACGUUUUGGUGUUAAGAAGACGUGUUUAUGCAUAAGUGUUGGUUAGGUAAUGCCUCAUAUUCUGAAUUGACGUGGGCACGGGUGUGGGGCAUUACAUUUAGUGGUAUCAGAGCUACGGUUUAGUUAGUUCUCAAACUAACGUAGCAUGUACAUGAGUCUAGAUAUACAUGCCAUAAAUAAAUUGUGAUAGUGUGAUGGCUCCUGACCUUUUUAAAUGUGUUUUCUUAUAGUAAUGGAUCCCGAUUGAACUAUGGCAGAUGACGUAAAAAGUAACGCACCGGCUCUCCCUUAAGGGGCGGCACCAUCUGAUAAUCGACCUCCCAUAGUUAGUCAAGAAGGAGGAGAAGGGGCUCGGGAGGCCUUUCUCUACAUGAUGAAUGAGUGGUACACGGAGUUUGUUCAAGCGAACCUGAAUGCUCAACCCCCUCCACCCCCACCUAUCCCUUUACCUGUCCCCGUAGUACCCCAGGGUAUGGACUUUGAGAGAUGGAAUAGACCUCCAGUGGAUAAGAUUCGAAAGCAUGGAGCCGAGGAGUUCUGUGCUAAUAGAGAUAGUGACUCUGAAAAGGCAGAAUUCUGGCUAGAGAAUACCAUCAAGGUAUUCGAUGAAUUAUCUUGCACUUCUGAAGAAUGUUUGAAGUGCGCCAUAUCAUUGUUGAGGGACUCGGCAUAUUACUGGUGGAAGACGUUAGUCUCCGUGGUACCUCACAAAAGGGUCACAUGGGAGUUCUUUCAAGAGGAAUUUCGAAAGAAAUACAUCAAUGAGAGGUUUAUGGACCAAAAGUGUAAAGAAUUUCUCGAUUUGAAGUAAGGCCGCAUGACGGUUACUAAAUAUGAAAUAGAGUUCGUUCAAAUUAGUAAGUACGCCCAGGAGUGUGUAUCCUCCGAGGUUAAGAUGUUAGAAGGUUCGAAGACGGACUUAAUAUGGACACUAGAUUGUCAGUCGCUGUCCUUGAGUUGAAAGAGUUCGUGAUACUUGUUGAUCGGGCCUGUAAAGCAGAGGAAUUAAUGAAGGAAAAGAAGAAAACUGAAGCUAAAACUAGAGAUGCAAGGAAGAGGCGUGCGAGCAAGUCAUUUCCAUCUCAGUCUGAGAAAUCUAAAGACGUCUACUCUCGUUCCCAUGUAUCUGCGGGACAUUCACACUGAGACCAUAAGAAGUAAGAUUCAGAUUUUAAGUCUCGGGCGACAUCAGUGGCGAGUGUAGGCAAUGUCAAAUCUUCCAAACCAGAAUGCCAACAUUGUGGUCGAAAUCAUUUCGGCAAGUGUAGGAUGAACGAUGGAUCCUGUUUUCAAUGUGGUUCUCAAGAUCACUUUAUUAAAGAUUGCCUCGAGAUGAUUAACAAAGAGAAAUUUCAAAGUACAAGGCCAAGCGGCACAAAUUCUAAAAGAAGGCCUCAGAAGAAUGUUGGAGCUAGGGCUGGCAGUAAGAAUGUGACGAGAGACGCCACCAUAAGGUCUGAAGCUAGGGCUCCGGCUAGAACCUAUGCCAUACGUGUACGUGAAGAUGCAUAUUCUCAUGAUGUGAUCAUCGGUACAUUUUCUCUUUAUGAUAAUACUGUUAUUGCUUUGAUUGAUCCUGGCUCUACUCAUUCAUAUGUGUGCAUGAAGUUGGUGUUUAACAUGAAUAUACCUGUUGAGUCUACGGAGUUUAUGAUUAAAGUGUCGAACCUAUUAGGAAAACAUGUGAUAGUCGAUAAGGUAUGUAAGAAAUGUCCUUUGGUAGUUAAGGGCCAUUGCUUUUCGACCGAUUUGAUGUUGUUACCAUUUGAUGAGUUUGAUGCCAUUUUGGGUAUGGAUUGGUUGACACUCCAUGAUGUUUUAGUAAAUUGUAGACAAAAGGCUAUUAAAUUGAAAUGGGAAAAUGGUGAAACCCUUUGGAUUGAAUCAGGAAACUUGCUCAUUGUAAUAUCUGCAAUGUCUGCCCAGAAAUGUUUGAGGAAAAGAUGUGAAGCUUAUUUGGCUUUUUUAAUUAAUACAAAGGAAUCGAAAUUGAAGGUUGAGUCAGUGUCGGUUGUAAGUAAGUAUGUGGAUGUAUUCCCAGAAGAAUUGUCUGGGUUACCCUCUCAUAGAGAGGAAGAAUUUGGCAUAGAGCUAAUACCAAGGACUACGCCUAUCUCCGACUGAGCUGAAAGAACUAAAGUCACAGUUGCAAGAAUUAACCGACAAGGAUUUUGUGAGACCAAGCUUUUCAUCGUGGGGUGCUCCGGUGUUAUUUGUAAAAAAGAAAGAUGGAUCAAUGAGGUUGUGUAUAGAUUACCGGUAGUUAAAUAAGAGAAUGAUCAAGAACAAAUACCUGUUGCUGUGAAUUGAUGACUUGUUUGACCAAUUGAAGGGAGCAACAUGGUUUUCUAAAAUAGACUUGAGAUCAGGCUACUACCAACUAUGAGUUAAAGAGGCAGAUGUUCCCAAAACAGCUUUUAGGACGUGGUAUGGCCACUAUAAGUUUCUCUUCGUGCCUUUUGGUUUAACAAAUGCCCUUACCGUGUUUAUGAAUUUAAUGAAUAGAGUAUUUCGGCCAUAUCUAGAUAAGUUUGUAGUUGUAUUCAUAGAUGAUAUCCUGAUCUACUUUAGAGACAAGGUAGAACAUGUCGAACACUUGAGAACCAUUUUGCAGAGUCUAAAGGAUAAUCAGUUGAAUGCCAAAUUUAACAAAAGUGAGUUUUGGCUUAAAGAAGUCGGCUUUUCUGGCCACAUUGUUUCGAGUGAUGGUAUUAGGGUUGAUCCCAGCAAGGUUUCUACUAUUUUUGAACGGAAACCUCCAAGUAAUGUGACUGAAGCUAGAAGCUUUCUAGGGUUGGCCGGUUAUUACAGGCAUUUUGUAAAGGAUUUCUCUAUGAUUGCGACUCCCAUGACAAGGUUGCUGCAAAAAAAAUGUUGUUGACUAAGGCUCUCAUACUAGUACAACCCGAAUCAGGCAAAGAAUUUGUGAUUUAUAGCGAUGCUUCUCUAAAGGGGUUGGGAUGUGUACUUAUGCAAGAGGGAAAAGUUGUGACCUAUGCCUCGAGACAAUUGAAACCUCACGAGAAGAACUAUCUACUACACGAUUUAGAGUUUGUUGCCAUAGUAUUUGCUUUGAAGAUCUGGCGACAUUAUUUGUUCGGGGAAAGAUGUCAUGUAUACACUAAUCAUAAAAGCCUUAAGUACUUGAUGACCCAAAAGGAUUUAAAUCUGAGUCAACGAAGAUGGUUGGAACUAUUAAAAGAUUAUGAGUUGAUUAUAGAUUACCAUCCGAGAAAAGUGAACGUGGUCGCUGAUGCAUUAAGUAGAAAAUCAUUGUUUGCUUUGAGAGUAAUGAAUGCCCGAUUGACCUUGUCAAUGGAUGGUUCAGUUUUAGCAGAGUUAAAAGCUAGAUCGACGUUUCUUCAAGACAUUUUUGAGGCUUAGAAAAGUAAUAGCGAAUUUUUAUCCAAGAGAACCUAGUGCGAGACGAAUGUUGAAUCAGAUUUUCGGGUCGGUUUUGACGGUUGUUUGAGAUUUUGGGAAAGGAUUUGUGUUCCUAAGGACACCGAAUUGAUUUGGAAGAUUUUAGAUGAGGCACACAGUGGUUGUUUAUUAGUACACCCUGGGAGUACGAAAAUGUACAACUUAAAGAAAAUGUAUUCGUGGCCAGGGAUGAAAAGAUAUAUUUUGAAGUUCGUAUCCAAAUGCUUAGCAUGUCAACAAGUAAAGGCUGAGCAUCAAGUACCUUCGGCCUAUUACGUCCCUGAACAAAAGUGGGAUCGAAUUACUAUGGUUUUCAUGAUGGGUUUGUUAGUAACCCCAAAGAAAAAGGAUGUUGUUUGGGUUAUUGUGGAUGGGCUAACAAAGUCGACACCUUUUAUACCAGUGCGUACUGACUACUCCCUUGAGAGAUUGGCUAACUUGUACAUUUCUGAGAUUGUGAGACUACAUGGGGUACUUUUAUCGAUUAUUUCAGAUAGGGACCUGAGAUUUACCAGGAGGUUUUGGAAAAUUUUACUAGAGGCAUUGGGAACAAAGUUGAAUUUUAGUACGGCUUUCUACCCGCGGACUGAUGGCCAAUUAGAGAGGGUAAUUCAGACCUUGGAAGACAUGCUUCGAUGUUGUGUAGUGGAAUUUCAGGGUAGUUGGGAAAAUUAUUUGUCACUGGUGGAGUUUGCUUAUAAUAACUCGAGUUUAAAGAUGGCACCUUAUGAAGCGUUGUAUGGGCGUAAGUGUCGAACGCCUUUGUAUUGGACCGAGCUUAAAGAGAGUCAGAUUCACGGGGUCGAUUUAGUCAAGGAAACUGAAGAAAAAGUUAAGGUGUUUCGUUAUUGUUUAAAGGCCGCUUCAGAUAGGUAGAAAUCCUAUGCGGAUUUGAAAUGAAAAGAGAUUGAGUUUCAAAUCGGUGAUAAGGUAUUUCUAAAAGUAUCUCUGUGGAAAAAGGUUCUUAGAUUUGGUAAAAAGGGAAAAUUGAGUCCGCAUUUUAUCGGACCAUAUGAAAUGAUUGAUAGAAUGGGUAGGUAGCCUAUCGGUUAGCCUUACCAUCGGAAUUGGAAAAUAUCCAUGACAUAUUCCAUGUGUCCAUGCUACAUCGAUAUCAUUGGGACCCUUCACAUGUGAUUUCUCUGACUGAAGUGGAGAUUAGAUCAGAUAUGUCUUAUAGUCAGGAUCUUGUUAAGAUCCUAGCUCGAGAAAUUAAGCAACUGAGAAAUAAGAGUGUUCCCCUUGUGAAAGUGUUAUGGCAAAGACAUGGGGUUGAAGAGGCCACAUAGGAACACGAAGAAAAGCCAAUACCCAAACCUUUUUACCCGUAAGAUUUUCGAGGACGAAAAUCCCUAAAUGGGGAGAAUUGUAAUAGCCCGACUUUGGGGCUAGUCAAAAUAGUGGUUUCGAAACCACUAACACGAGGUCAGGGAAAUUAUUUUAUAUAUAUUAUUUUAUGUAUUGUAGCAUGAUUAGAUAAGUACAUGAAAAUUUUGGUGAAUAAAUUUUAGUGAUUGCUUGCUUAAUUGCGAAAAAGGACUAAAUCGCAUAAAGUACAAAAGUCUUAAAUUGUUAGCUAAAGGUGUUAAAUUGCUAUGAACCUUAAUUUGAGGGUUUUUAAAGGGAAAUUAGACCCUUUCCUAAGAGCUUGGCCUGCCAUAGGGAACAAUUUGGUCAACAAGUCAAAAGUUUAGGUGGUUUGGUAACUUAAUUGAAUAAAAUAAGACAAGAUGACUUCAUCCUUUCAUUCUCUUCUCCUACCACUAAAAUUUUCAGCCAUUAGAGGGGUUUUUGAGCUUCAAAAUUUCAACAACUCUAAGCCUUUGCAAGUAAGUGAUUCUCAUGAGUUCUCUUAAUGAUUUUUACAUUUUUGGACUCCUUGAAGCAUGAGCUUUCAAAUGAGGGGACUAUUUUGCAAGAUUGGCAAGAGUCUAGGGUUUUACCAUGAAAGCAUGUGUGUUGAUAACUGAAAUUUUAUGGAAGAAUAUGAGUCUUAGAUGGGUAAUAAACAACUUUUGUGAAGGGAUUUCUCAUGAAAACCCUAUUAGGGACUAUUUUGUAUAAGUUGUAAAAUAGACGAUAAAUGUGUGAAAUAGUAUAAAUUUUGGAUUUCUAUAAGAGUAAAAAGGGUUCGGCUAGGCUUAUUAUAUGAGGAAUUCUGAUAAAAAUUGAUUUUCGAGCAUGGGGGUAAAAUGGUCAUUUUGUGAAAGUAUAAGGGCAAAAUAGUCAUUUUGCCCAAUUAUGAUAUUUGAGUGUAUAAAUCAAUGUGCUGAUGAAAUAGAAGAAUUUUAUUAAUUUAGAUCAAGAGAAACGUGAUUUGGGUAUUGGUCGGGGUAAGAAUAAAUUUUACGAGGAUUAAGCUCGUCUUCAUCAUUUUGUAUCGAGGUAAGUACAUAUGUAAAUAAUGUGUUAACCAAACUUAUUUAAAAAUACCUUGAUAAUGUACAUGUGCAAUUAGCUUAUUGUGUUUAUGUAUCUAAAGUUUAAAUUGUUUCCAUGAAUGUGUAAAUGACCUGUUCUUCGAGUAUAACACGUUGCGAGCAAAUGCGAUGCUAUUCGGUUUACAUUGAAAACCCGUUGAACCCUAGAUAUAGCAUAGGAUACAAAGGGGCAUGUCAUGAAAAUUAUGUGGUCUGAACUCAUGAGUUGAGUCUAAGUUCAUGGACUGAUUUUUAUAGGUAACGUGGGUCUAGGUACUGCCUUUGUGCACAGGCCCGUGAGUGGCUCAAUGAGUGAACGUUACAUAAUAGCCAUGGGGUCCAGGUCUUUACUUGAUAAAAAGGUUCGUGAGUAGCUCAAAUGUAAGCACAUCAUAGUAUGAGGUAGCCCUCACUAUCUGUAUGGCAUUUAUAUGAAAAUUCCCUACAUAUUCGUAUGUAUUUCGAGCAUUCAACGGGUAAUGCAAAGAUUUAGUUGGUGAAAUUUUGAUGAGGUACAUAGACUGAACUUAUUGAUAAAUCCUGAGUCUAUGAUGAGAUGUCUUUAAGCAUAUAUGAAUAAAAGGAAGAAUAAGAUCGAGAAGUCUAAGUGACUCAAAUCUUUAAUGCAUGUCAAUUUAUCGUUUGAUAAAUAUGUUUUCUUUAAUUACACUUUAUUUGCAUAUAUGUAUUUACUAAGCUUACAUGCUUACCUUCCUUUCUUUUCUUUCCUUAUAGUGCCGCCAAGCUAGCAUCGAAGAUCCAGUAACGUCAAAAGCUUUGGUCACACUAUCACUCAAGACCUUGGAAUAGUUAGUUUAAUUGUUUUGUUUACUGGCAUGUACAUGGACUCGAUUCUUUUGUUAAGCGCUUUGUUAAGUAGCCAAAAUGUGUUGGCCCAUAUGUGAUUAUGAUACUCAUUUUGUAUAAGGCAUGAAUGUUGGCUAAUGCUAAUUAUUAUUCAAUGUGAUGAUGCAAAUUUCUAAUGGUUAUGGUUGUUUUGGUUAUGCAUAUUAUGUUGGUAUUGAACUUGGUUGAUCUUAUCUAAAUAGAUGUUUGUAAGGGUGGCAAAGAGGCUUGGUAAAUAGCCUCAUUUUGUCCACACGGUCAGCCCCAUGGGCAUGUUGUGCAGCUGUGUGUCCCCUGCACGUAAAAAUUUCAAGUCAGUAUGCAUGGUAGUAAACACAUGGACAGAGACACGGCCAUGUGUCUCAGCCGUGUGAAGGACACGGCCUAGCACACGGGUGUGUGCCUUGGCCGUGUGGCCUUUAUGGAUUGUUGACGUCAGAAAUAGAAUGUCCACGUUUUUACAUAUGGGCUAGCACAUGGGAGUGUCUUAGCCGUGUGAAGGACACGGGCCAGAGACACGAGCAUGUGCCAAGCCGUGUGAAAACCCCUGUGGGUGUGCAUUUAAAAUUAAUUCCACACGGAUUCAGGACACAGACGUGUUUCCCCUUCCACACGGGCGUGUGCCCCUAUGUUAGGUGUUAUUUUCGGGGUUCGUUUAAGGCCCCAGAUUAAUUCCUAAUGGGUUUCAAUGAAUGUUUUAAACCCCGUAAGCUCUUAUUGAGGAGUUUAUAUCUGAAAUUGAAAAAGUUUUAAUUUGACCACAUUUUGGUGUUAAGAAGACGUUUUUAUGCAUAAGUUUUGGUUAGGUAAUGCCUCAUAUUCCGAACUGGCGUGGGCACGAGUGUGGUGUGUUACAGAAUGUGUGCCAAACCCUAAUUGCUUCGAAAACUCUAUUUUAUUUUUGUUAUUCAGUUUCCAAAGAUGAAUGAACACAAAUUUUUAGUGUUGUUUUAUUAUAAUUAUAACUUAAUAAUCAAUUUACUAAUAUAACCUUAUUAUAAACCUUUUAAAAACAUGAUAUUAAUGUUCAUAUAUGUCAAAUUUCACUAUCAAAGGUCUAAUUACAACAUAAGGACCUCUCAUUUAAUAAGCCCUAGCAAUUAAGCACUUUUAACUUAUAGAAUGCAUCUUUUACAUUUUACGUGAUUUAGUCCUUUAGUCAAAUUAAUCACUUAAACGAUAAAAUUAUCACACGAAAAUUUCACACAUAUGUAUUCACAUACUCUAAGCACCAAAAAUAAGAUUAAAAUAAUUUUACAAACUUAGAUUUGUGGUUCUGAAACCACUGUUCCAAUUUAGCUAAAAUCGGGCUGUUACAUGUUCCAUAUAAGUGUAGCAUAAGCUAUCAGUCUACAACACACCAAUACAUCCCAUUGAAUGGAGUUAAAACUCAACAUUCCUUUUUAUUUCCAACAUAUCUCGAGCCUCAACUCCCAUAUAUAAAACACAUGUGUGAGUACUCAAAUCCUAUGACAUCCCAACUAUAUUUAAUGAUAUCAAGACACCACAAGGCCAACAUAUCCAUUUAAAAACAAUUAUUUACUAUUUUAUGCACAUUCUUGUUUGUCCAUAUUCGCCACACUAUCACAUCAUAUGUAAUGCACUAUAAAGUGCAACACAAUGUUCUUUGAGCCCCAAACACUAUAAACUCAUAUAUGUGCAUAAAACCAGAAAAUCAUGAGUCAUAUACUGACAUAAACACAUCAUUUUUUGCUAUAAACUCAUAAUAAAUCACAUCUCACACCACACAAGCAUUAUUUGCAAGGCUAACCUAAGCUCCCUAUUAAAUCUAUGAAUUGUGCUUACAUGUAGCACUUCAGAUCACUCACCGAUGUAGCAUUCACCCAAUUAUCAGAAGCCUAAAAAAGCUUCUCAUUGCUUUUUGCCUUGCUCGUAGAGAGCUCCGAUGGAUCCAGAACUUCGCAUACACAUUAAACACAAGAUAAACUAAUCAUUAACACAUUAAGAUCCAAAAUCGUAUCUAAACAUAAAAAAAUAUAUAUGGAUCCAUAUUCUCCCCUCUUAAACCAAAAGUUUAACUAGAUUUAUCGAAAUAAUUGAUUUCCUUAAUCAAUUCUUAUUUCUAUUACUUAAAAAUGAGUGUAAACAUCGUAUAUAUCAUAUUAGAAUAGAUUUAAACCAUUUUAAAUGCCUAAAAAUGUAGAUUUCAGUUUUUCAGAAAUAUCGUCACAUGACAGCAUUCAAAAGGGAAAAUCAUCAAUUCUCUAAAAUCCUUUAAUGAUCUGUUAAAUUGAGUUUAAAAACAUUUUAAUCAAAUCAAAAUAAGAUGAAAAUCAUUUAGUAACAAUGAUUUAACUUAAAAAUCCAAAUUUCACCAUUUUCAAUCUCAUUUUUGACUUAAAACUUUAGAUCCAUAGACAUCUCAUUAUAAGUGAUCAAAUCUUGAUUUGUAAAAGCAACAUACAUAAAAAUAUCAUCAAGAAUCAAAAUCUAACCUUGAUUGAAAAAUAAAAACAAGUUGAAGCUUUAAUUGCUUGAAAAACCUUUGGAGAAAAAUAAAGAAUUUGAGGAAGAAUUUGAGUGUUUUCUUUAAAAUUGAGAUCUAAUGUUUAAUAGGUGUGAAAAUCAAAAUGACCUAUUUUUUUGGAGAGAAAAAUGCUUAGAUUGGUGUUUGGAAAAAAUACAAAUGAGAAAAUGAAUAAGGGAAGAAACAUGAAUGGGUUUUAUAGUUGCAUGAAAAAAGAACCGGUUUUUAAAACUUAGAUUAGUUGCUUUUAGGAAACUCUCAAGUUUGACCUUUUUACAAAUUAGUCAUUUUUUAAUUAAAACACCUUUUUCUUAAUUCUUUUUAAAUCCAAUUUUAUUUUUAAAAACCGUCUUAAAGUAAUCAUUUUUUGGAUAAUUAAUUCUAAAUUCCUUAACCUAAUUUUAGACCACUAUUAUUAUUAUUCUCGAAUUUAAUUCAUGGACCCGAAUUGGCUAUCUGAUCCACCAACCUAAAUCUACUAGACAAAAUAUAAGGAUGUGACACAUUGGAUAUAAAGUACUGUCCAAUGAUUUGCCAAUGGUCUUUAGUUAGAAUUCGACUAUAAUCACUAUCAUCACCAAACUUAACUAUGAAAUAAUUACUAUCCAUAUCUGCUAGUUGAAAAUUCUCAAUUAAAUUUCAUAGAGAAUGAAGUCUCCUUAAUAAAGUUUUGAAACAAAUAGAUCUCCCCAAAAGACAACAAUAACAAUCUUUUUCAUGCUUUUAUGAAUUAACUCAUGAACUCUAUAUGAGAAAUGAAGCUUCAAAUAUUGCCCAUCUAUUUUGACACUAAAAUCAUCAUUCCCCAAUUUGAUAUCGACAUAAACAUCAUCAGCCACUGAUUCACUAAGCAAAUCUAGAUUCCCAAUAAGAGUAUCACAAAAAGAAGCUAUUAGGGACUCACCCUCCAUACUCAUGUGCUCUUGCCAUUGCUGGCAACAUUUUUAUCCUUAACCUUUUUGUGGCUCUUUUUAGCUCUUUAGAGAUUAGAGAACCUGGCCACUCGAGAGAGAAAAACAAGAAAGAAUCCAUUCAAGUUUUUUCAAAACUAUAAAACAUAAGUCGACACUUUUUAAUGUUCAAGUUAAUCGCCAUUUAAAAUGUUAUCUCUUUUACUUUAAAAUUAAUUUGGUCUAAAUUGUUAAAUUUUAUAAUAAAAAGACUAAUAAAAUGAGGACCACCAAGUAAUUUAACGUUUACUAUAUCUAUUUCAAAAUAACUGCUAAUUGUGGGUCCCACGAUAACUGAUGGAUAAAAAAACCCAUUCAAAUAUGUUAUCACUUAAAAAUGAACACGUGAAUUAAUUAGGUUAAGUUCCAGAUUUAAACUAAGAUGAUAAAAUUUAGAUUAGAUUGAAUCGAUAAGUUUAAUAGGCUAAACUGUUAACCAAUCAAUCUAAUGGAUUAAUCAUAUAAUUUGAAUAGAAAAAAAACAACUACAGCAUUAGAUGGUUUAAUCAUAUAAAAUUUAGAUUAGAUGAUGACUUAAAUUGUUUCAGCUAGGAUAAACGCAAUGCUAUGAUUAAAUUCAAUCAAUUCAUGUUUCUAUUGUUUUGUUCCUUAGUUGUUCAUGCUUCCAAUUUGCAAACAUGUUUAAAUACUAAGAAAAAAUUGAAGAUAAUGAAAGAAGAAACUCUUAUUGAAUUGGUGGUUCCCCGGAGAAUGUUCGUGGUGGCUUCCUCCAAUUUUCGUGGUUGCUCCUUUGCAAAUUGCUCCUCAAGGUGGCUGGCCAAGAGAGCUUUUCUCAAGGAAAUGCUAGCUAAAGAAAAUGGGAAGAUGGAGAGAGCUCUAGGCGUGGAAGAGAGGAGCAAUUUAUACUUGAAGGAGAGCUUGGGAGUUUGCUAAAAAUAGCAUGCACAACCCUUGAGAAUCUCCCAUGCAUGGUCGACCAUGCUUUGUGGGAUGAGGGGUUUGUUGGUUGCUUGAUUUGUAACCGAUUGUAACACCCUUAACCCAAAUCCGUCGCUGGAAAAGUGUUAGGGACCAUUACCAAAGUUUACAGAACAAAUAACAGACAUUUCAACUUAUUUAGUAUUCAUAUCUAAUUUCAAGUCAAAACCAAGUCUCAUGCAUGACAUAACAUCACAUACAAACAAUGUGUUCUUAAGCACCUCAAAUAAUACUUUACCAACGUGUAACCAAACACACCAAAGCUUACUAUAAAGUUCACUUAUAUGCAUAUCUUACCAAAUAUGCUAGAAUUAAUCAUCAACAUGCCAACAUGAUUUUCUAUCAUUCAAUCUUUUAAGCACACAUCAAACAUGUUAUAACCUCAUUUAUACAUAUCAAAACAUAUUCAUCACAAACCAUUCCAAUGGCUAGUUAUAACUUAAAUAUUUACAUGCCAACAUUGGCUAAUUAACAUAUACAUGCCAUUAUAACCAUAAUUAAUUUACCAUAUAUAUAUACCAAAAUGGGCCGAUAGAUAGUGUGAGUGAUUUUCGCCGAUGCUUUCAAUCCAACGAGCUUCCAAAUUACUUUAAGGCACGGGAAAAUAAAACAGAGUAAGCAUGAAAUGUUUAGUAAGUUCGUAUAACAUGGUAAAUAACUUACCAUAUAUUUAUGUUCAGAAAUAAACUUACAAGGCAGUAUCAAUCAAUUUUAUCAUAAACCCUAAACACAUAUCCUCAUCAUGUUAGCCAAGUAAUCACAUAUGAUAGUCCUUAAUCAUGGAUGAACGAAGUCAUCAAGCAUGAUCCACAUUCAUGUAAUAUCCAAUUCAUGCAUCAUUAUAUCAAGUAAUGUCAUUUCCAUGUACUUCAUGUACAUACAAGUAAUAAUUUGUUUCAAAGUCAUACUAUCUCAUAUAAACAUCAAGAAACAUCUAUGGGCUCAAUAAUAACCAAAUUCCAUAUACAUAUAUUUUCUACAUCAUGAAUUCAAAUAACAUAUACAAUUCAUAUUCCUGUAUUUCAAGUACAUUUUCAUAAUAAUUUAUCUCGAGAUUAGAUUAUUUCAUGUCAAAACUUUACCCAUUAAAUCAUUUGAAAUAUCAAUGUCACAUGGGAAAUACACUCAAGGUGUACUAAUCUAUAUUCAUCGAUGAACAUAUUUAUUAAACAAAUUCCAUGUUCAUAUAUCAUCAAUUUGUAUUUCCAUAAAUCAUGUAUCAUCAUUUCAUGUAUUUCAGGCAGACACUUGUAAUAAUUCAUUUCGUGUUCAUAUUUUCUCAUGUUAGGAUUUUGCCCGUUGAAUUUAUUUGAAAUAUCGAUAGAUACUCAAAUAGUACACUCGAAGUGUACAAAUUAAAAAUUCGUCAAUUCAUAAUCAAGGGUACUCAUUAGAGUACAUAAUUAGGAAGUACUCUCUCGAGCCAUAUAUCAAGAAUGCUCAUAUGAGCCAUGUAACAGGAAGCUUAUCCGGGCUAAAUCAAGAAACUCAUAAGAGUUUAAAAUAGGAAGUUCACAAAAAACUUUUAAUCAGGAAGCUCACAAAGAGCCUAUCAGGAAUGCUCACAAAGAGCCAUGUAACUGGAGCUCUGGAUAGCUAUAUAUUAGGGAGUUCAGGCAAGCCAAUAUCAAGACGCUCAUAAAGAGCUGUAUUUGUGUCUGCAACAUAUGCAAGAUCAAACCCGAUCACAUAAUAGCACACUUACAAAGAGCUACGUUUGUGUCUGCAACAUAUGCAGAAUCACAAUCGAUCAAUAAAUAGGAUGCUCACAAAGAGCUGCGGUAGUCGCAACAUAUACAAGAUUACAACCGAUCAAGAUGCUCGCAAAACUAUAUAAUAAGAAACUCGAGAGUGAUAAUAACAAAAUGCUCGCCUGAGUUAUAGUAUGUCUGCAAUAUAUGCAAGAAUACAACCAUUACAGGAAAUCUAGUAAUCCAUCGAAUUUCAUUUAUUCAAACAGGACUUGACAUUUUUCAGGCAUUAUCAUUAUCGGGCUUUUUCGGAUAUGUUUUCAAUUUCAUAUAUAUAAUAGUUAUACAACUCACAUGCACAAAAUUCAAUUCAAGUGUACAAUUAUACAUAAUUUAGUUACACGAACUUACCUCGACAAUUGUUUAUGUACAUAAAAUCUACUAAUGUGACAUUUUUCACUUUUCCUCGUUCUAACUCUGAAUUUGGUCUACCCUAAUCUAUACGAGUAAAUUUAACAUCAGCUUAAUACAAUUCAUACUCAAUUCAGUCUAAUACACAUUUUAGGAAAAAUUAUUAUUUUUCCCCUAAACUUUUAAUUAAGGACGAUUUCGUCCCUAGGCUCGGAAAAUGAAAUUCAUGCGAUUUAAUCCUUAUUCCAAGCAUAGCCAAAUUUUACAAGUAACAUUUCCAGCCCAUGUAUUUCACAAAAUUUAGAAUUUUUCUAUAAAUUUUACAACUUUACUAUUUAGUGCCUAAUUCAUAUUUUCAUCAAAAUUCACUUUACAAAAGUUGUUUAUCUAUCAACAACCUUUCAAUUUCUACCAUAAAUUUCAACAUUUCAGCAUAUUCAUCCAUGGAAAAAUUUCUAUGUUAAUCCCCAAAAUUGCUAGAUUAGGUUAUCUCGAUCUCAAAAAUAUAAAAAUUACUAAAAACGGGACUUGAAUACUUACCUAAUUUGGCCAAAUAAGUUUUCUCUUUCUUCCAUUCUCCAUGGCUAGGGUUUCAUAUUUAUUUGGGAAAGAUGAUGAUAAAAAUGAUGAUAUUUUCUUUAUUUUAUUAUUUUUCAUCUUUCUAAUUUUGUCUUUUUCUUUAUUUUAUUUUCCAUGGAUGAUUCAUUAUCCUUAACAACUAAGUAUUUUAAUGGUCUAUUUUUCAUAUAAGGACCUCAAAUUUUGAAUUCCAUAGCUAUUUAAUCCUUUUAGCUAUUAGAACUCAACUUUUGCACUUUGUGUAAUUUGGUCCUUUAUCAAAUUAAACAUGUAAUCGGUAAAAUUUCUUUACGAAAUUUUUUUAUGAAAUUAUUAUCAUACUAUAGAUAAUAAAAUAAUAUUAGAAUAAAUUUCCUUUUCGAAAUCGGAUUUGUGGUCCCGAAACCAUUGUUCCUGUUUUACCGAAAAUGGGUUGUUACACCGAUUCUCCCUUAGUUUAAGGCAUGGGGUUGGACGCCAAUGAAGGGACUUAGCUGGGCCUAAUUUUUAAUUUUUUCACACAUGAGGGACCUUCCUCCAAUUGUUCCAAAGUUGAUUUGGGCUGUAAUAGCCCUUUUUUCGGUGGUGUCAGAAAUAGUGGUUUCGGAGCCACAAAUUCGGCGAGUAAGUUUGUAAAUGUUAUUAGUUAAUAUUUAAGAUUCAAAUUUAUUAUUAAAAUAAAAACUUGAAUUGACAAUUUAUGCUAUUUGAAUGAAUAAUUAGGUUCAAGUGGUAUGACCUUGAAGUUAAGUGGUUUUAGCAAAUAAGGUAUCGGGAUCUCAUUUGUAUAAAUCGAGUCAAAUUUUUUAUUAAAUAUUCAAAUAGUGUUGUUAAGGUUGUAUUAAAGUUUGGUUAAGAAUUUUUGACGUUUAAAUGAUUAAUUAAUUUGAAAGGACUAAAUUGUAAAGAUAUGAAAUUUAAUAGCUAUAGAUUUAUUUGUAUUUAAUUGAUAUAAAAGCAUGAAAUAAGGGUCUUAAGCAGUAAUUCAACCAAUUUUAAGGUUAGUGGAUGAUCAUGCCAUGACAUUUGGUGAAAUUUGGUUAAUAUUUAAGGGUAAAAUAAUAAAUAAAUAAUAAAACUUAAAUUAAGUAAAAGUAAACGGUUAUCUUCUUCAUUUCUAAUUGAAGAAACUGAAACUCCAUAGAAAUUAAAGCUCCAAGCUUCGGUCUUGCUAUGGUUAAUGCAUGUAAGUCCAUUUUUUAUUUAUUUCUUAUAAUUUUUAUGUUUUUGAAAUCAUUGCAAUUAGACCCAGCUAACCUGUACCUCUAUUUUUGAAAUUAUUAAAUAUUUUAGAAUGUUCCUUGGAUGAGUUUGAGGUGUUUGUAAAAGUUUAUGAUAGAUUGUUAAGCUUUGUUGCCAAAUAGACAUAUUUUAUUAAGUAAUUUUUGAUGAUUUUCAGGUAUAAGAACUUAUUUAUGAAAAUGGAAAAAUUAAAGGAAAACAUUGAAAAUGGAUGAUAAAUAUGGGCUGUUAUAAAAAUAGGUAAAAAUCAAUUUGCAUGAAUUUUAAUUAGAAAUGAUGAAAUUGCAAGUUUCGAGUUUAGAGACUAAAUUACAAAAAAGGUAAACUUUGAGGGUAAUUGUGUAAAUUUUUAUUAUUACGGGUUAUAAGCUAGACUAAUUAUUUUAAAUGCUGGAAUGGGAUUAAUUGAACAAAAAUGAUUAAUUUGCAUGUUUUGAACUUAGGGACUAAAUUGUAUAAAAUUUGAAUGCUGGGGGUAAUUUUGUAAAAAUGUCAAAAAUGACUUAAUUGCAUAAAAUGAACUUUUUUUGUUGUAAUUAGUGAAAUGAAUGGAAUUAUUAUUUUUUAUCAAGAACGAAUGAAAAAUCGAGGAAGAGAAAAUUACCAAAUAGAUCACGUACUUAGUCAUUGCUGCAAUUUAAUAAGGUAAGAUUGUAUGAACUAUAAUCAUUUAAAUGUUUAAAUUGAAUAUUUAUUAUUUUUUUUGAUGUAAAUGAAUCAACAUAUAAAUGUAUCAAUGCUAUGAUGAAUUGACAGAUAUUGAAUCUCAGUUGAACCUUAAGAAUUCUUAGGAUACAAAUGACAUGUCGUUCGGGAUUUCAUGUUUCAGGUGUUGGUCUUGAAUGUCCUAUCAAUGGCUGAGAUCCUGCAUUUGUUGAAAAUUCUCCACAAAUCAUGUGAUCAGCAUCAUGUAGCUUAAAUUCUGACCCACAGCUCGUGUGAGCAUUAAUGUAAAGGAAAGGUUAUGGUUAUAUGUAAAGGCACACCUCGUGUGAGCUUUCCCGAGUAUCCAAUGUAAUUCUAUAAGUUCACAAUUGAGAUGUAACAUGGUUUUAUAAAAAGAUUGAUGAAUUAAAUGCUGUACUUAUAUAUGGGAAAUCUACUUAUGCUAUGGAUGAACUCAUUUAAAUAUGGACAAGUUCACUAACUUGUAAUUUGAUUAUGUUGUUUAGGUUUAUACUAAACAUUUGGAAUCGGUAAGUAAGCAAAUGGAAUGAAACAUGAUCGUAUGGUAAUGAUGAUGAAUUAAAUGUUAUGUUUAUAUAUAUAUGGUUGAUUUCGUAUGUAUCAAUAAUAAGUAUGCUAACUUGUGAGUUUGGUGGUGUUAUAUAGGCUUUAUUAAUCUUAUGGCAUCGGUAAAGGUUUAUUCUUAUUCUAUAAAGUUCAUUAUUGAAAUGGUAAUGUUAUUGUUAAAGUUUAUACGAGCUUACUAAGCAUUCAUUGCUUACAUAGUUAUUUCUCCUUCGCUAUAAAGAUUAUCGGAAGCUCGAUCGGUUGGAAGUUCGUCGGAGAUCUAUCACACUACCCAGUAGACAAUUUGGUAGUUUUUGAGUAAUUUGGCUAAGGUUUAUAAUGGAAUGUAUAGGUUUCUUUGUGUUGGUAUUAUGGUGUAUGUGUUAAUAGUGUUUUGGCAUGUAUAAGCUUUGGAAAGAUAGGUUAGUUUGGUACAGUUUGAUGCCUUACCAAGUUAUGUGAUUUUGGUUACUUCGAUGUGCUUAUUGAUAUAGUCUUCUUGGCAUGUUGAUGAUAGUUUGAAAAUGGUUACUUGUGACAUGUUUUAGUUUAUAUUUGAACUAGGUUUUUAUGUUUGGAAAUGGCAAAAUUAACAUGUAUAAAGUGGUUUAUAAUGGUGCUUGAUGAAUAUGUAAAUGGUAAUUUGGUAUAUUUGUACCUUGAUGUUUAAGUAUGGUUGACAGACUUAUAAUGCUUGAUUAGGUAAUUCCUUUUGGUCCGUUUUGUUAAUAGAUGUUUAUGGCAUAUUGGUACAAUUUUUUGGUUUGAGAAUGGUCAAUAUGCAGUAUGAUUUAGGUAAAUAAAAUAAAUAGGUUAUCAUGUAUGAAUUGGUACAAUAUUGACAUGUUUUGAUACUUGAUAUCAUGAUAUAUUAUGGUGCCUUUGAAUGACAUAUUGGUUAGCUGAAAUAGGGUCUUGGGAACGGCAUAUAUAUAUAUAUAUGUGUGUGUGUGUAUGUGUGUUUAGGUGAGGUUUUGGUGCUUUGAAAGUGUGCAUUAUAAGUCUAAAUGUUUAUGCAUGACACAGUUUUGAAUUGGCUUGAUUUUAGGUAAAUUUGGGUCCACACGGCUUGAGACACGAGUGUGUGACUCAGCCGUGGUGAAACGGCUGUGUCUCAUCUGAUGAUUGCAAAGGGUUCAAGUCAGUGAGUUACAAGGGCGUGUGACACGACCAUGUAACCCUCCUUAGAGAGUUACACGGGUGAGGACAAGGGUUAGGACAUGGCCGUGUGUUCUUAGUUUGAAGGUUACACAGGCAUGUGUCUCAACGGUGUGAGGUACAUGGCCUGGCCAUACGGCUGUGUGACCCCUGUUUCCAAAAUUUUUGUGACUUUUUCCUAAACUUUUCAUAUUUUUUCAAAUUGGUCCCUAAUUACUUCUAAGUUAUUUUUAGGGCCUUUAGGGCUCAAUUUAGAGAUAGUACGCAUGUGAAUGAAUGGUUGAUGAUAUGUUUAAAUUAUUAAAUGAUAAAAUGUUUAAGUGUUUAUGAUUGUACAUUAAUGCUCCGUAACCUUAACCCGACGACAGAGAUGGGUUAGGGGUGUUACAUUGGCUGCUCUUUCAUGUCUUUUUCGAAUUUGGGCUCCUCUUCCCCCUAUUGGACGAUUUCGCAACCCAAUUAGAGAGUAGAGUAAUUAUUUUUAGAAACCAUCUUCCAAGAUGAGUUAAAGCAAUUUUUAUGAGCCCAAUUUAUUAGCUUGCCAUCUACAUUGUUGGAUAAUUAGCUCACUGGCAUGUGUUUCCUUACUAGCUCCCAACAUUGAGUAAUUUAAUGGUCCAUACUGCAGCAUUUUAAAAAGAAAUUAUCAUGUAGCAUAACUUAGUGAAAUUAUGUAAAAUUACGAACUUUACUAAAAUUAUGACCAAUGUCUCAAUAUGGACUAAAAUUACAAAAUUAGCUAUCCAAUUCUUCGGGAUUUGUAUAAAUUUCAAGUAGAAAGGUGUUAAAUAAACCUAUAUAAUUUAAACUUAUCACAAACACCAUAUUUGUUCUGAAGAAAAACUGGCUUCUGAUAUAGUUCAAUUGUGGGGAAGAAGUUAAAAGUCAUUUCUAGAGAAAGCCGUCUUUCGAUCCAAAUUAAUUAAAGAAAGGAGGUUCAAACCUGUUUUGUAGCAGUCCGUUUUUAGUCAAAUCGGAAUAGUGGUUUCAGAACCACAAAUCUGAUGUUGUAAAAUUAUUUUAAUAUUAUUUUAAGUGUUUACAGCAUGAUAAUAUGUUGGUGUGAAAAUUUCAUUAAGAAAUUUUUUUGUUUGAAUGGUCAAUUUGAUAAAAAAGACUAAAUCGCGUAAAGUGUAAAACUUGAGUUCUAUGAGUUAAAGGUAUCUAUUAUCCAUAGAACAUUAAAGUAAAGGUUCUUAUGUGGUUAUUAACCCAUUUAUAAUAUAAUGGAUGUUAGUGGAAUGGCAUUUGGUGUAACACCCUACACCCAAGUCCUACGCCAGGACGGGAUGCGAGGCAUUACAACACUUAAACACAUGCAUUCCAAUGUUCUCGAAUCAUCAAGGCGUGACCAAAUUUAAAGAUUUUUCAAACCUUGUCUGUAACGCCCCAAUUUUCGGGACUUCUGUUAAUUUUGGUGAAUUUUGGAAUUUUUGUGUUUUGACUGUUUGGCGUAGGUUUAAUUAUGUUAGUGGGCUCUAAAAGGCCCAAGCUUAAGCUAAAACCCGGUAAUUUUAGGUGAUUUUAAUCCAUAAGAGGAAAAAGGGGUUCUGGUUAACAGGGGUCUUAAAUAUUAUUUGGGUAAAAUAAGACAUAAGGAAAUAAGUGGCAAAGUGGCAUGUGACGCCACUGGCAAGGCUAUAAAAGUGGCGUGUGGAUGCUAGGGAGAGCUGAGGUUCAAGUCACAAUGACAACAUAUUAAGGGAAUUAUUGUUUUUAUGUUCAGAAAAGGUAAGCAGUGGAACUGAAGUGAAAGUCUGUCAGGAGAGGAUUUAGGAGUUGAUAAGGGAUAGGAAUUAGGAGUUGAUAAGGGAUAGGAUUUAGGAGCAGAUAAGGGAGGAAAUCUAGGAGCUGAUCAAGGAACAAGAGGUGGCCGGCCAAGGGACUUUAGCAUGGGAAUUUCGGCUAGGGUUAGUGCCAGUAUAAAUUCGGCAUUAGUGGUAAGUGGUGCCGUUUCCUGACCAUUCUCCUCUUCUUUUCUUUUUCUCUUCUCUCCAUCCACUUAUUCUUUUCUUCUUCUUUUCCCCAUAGCCGAAUCCUUCAGCCACCCUACUCUAUACCACCUUCCUUCCAUUAUUUUUGAGACUAUAGCUGAUUGCCUCAAAUCCCGAAAUCCUGAAAACUUGACUCCUUUUGUACCGAUUUUUCCCUAGCCAAAUCUCUUAUUUUUCUCAUCAUCUUUGGCCGAUUCUCUCAACCUCUAAAUCCCAGGUUUCUGUCGACAAUACCACAAGUAAAAACCCUCAUAUUUUAUCUUUCUCUACACUUUUGCAAAAAGCCGAAACUUCCACACUAUCCUAGGGACAUAGCCGAAUACUGAGAUCACUGAGGGCUAGACUUUUGUUAUCGUUUGAGGGCUUAGAACUGCAUCAGAAUCAAGUAGGAACUAAGGGGGAACGUUGACUGGAAGAAUCGGUGGUAAGUCUUUCCAACUUAGUCUAUCUUUCAUAUUUUAAGAAAAGCCGGAAUCCCUAAAAGGUUAGGGAGGUUGUCGUUUUUGGACUUGUAGCCCUAAGGGGUUGUGAUAAUAGUAUUAUUUUGGUAAUAGUGUGAUUAAGAGGCUGUUGAUCAAGGGCUUGGACAAGUGGAGCGAACGGAUCUGGAUCGAGACGCUAUUUUCGGCAAAGGUAGGAACACUAAGGCCUAAGGUGUUGUUGGCCGAAUAUGGUAAGAAGUUAAUAUGUAGUUCGUUUCGGUAGUAAGAUUAACGUGGUAGUAUUAUAAUUGUAGGCAGUUCGUGCGUGGUCCUCGUCAGCAAAUCGUCAUAAAACAGGUGUGUAACUGACACCCUCUCAUAGACUAGAUCGGCAAAAGCCGAAAUGCUGGAAAGUUGGUAUUUUGGAAAAUUGCGAGUGUGCGAAUGCUCGUAAGAUAGUUGGGUUUGCAUGUUUGGUAUUCUGAAGGUAAUAACUUCAGUACGUGCAAUUUCGUACAUUUUGAUAAUGUGGGCUUAAUGGGCCAAAAAUCGGGUUCAUGGGCCAACGGGCUCAAUUUGGUAAGUAUGCGCGGUAAGUAUUCUGAUAGUACGUAAAUGGAUAGGAUGUGCAUGAAAACCCUAAAAGUAGCUAAAUUACUACAAUACCCUUAUGUAUGGAAAAUUACCAUGAUACCCCUAGGUGUAAAUGAGCAAUAUGCCCCUAGGGUUAAUUUUAUCUGAAAAGCAUGUUGAUUUAAAUCUGUAUGAUGUAUGCCAUGAAUGAAUAUUUGUUGCAUGGGGACAUGGGUUAUAUUAUGGAGGAAGCGUCCUGGUGGCUAUGCCACAAAUUAUCUGAUCUGGUGGCUCUGCCACAUAUAUCUGUUCUGGUGGUUCUGCCACGAUUAUCUGUAUCUGUGACUCUGUCACAUUAUCUGUUCUGGCAGCCAUGCUGCAUAAUUCUAUGGCGUGUAGCGGUUGGGUGGGUCGAGUAGUCUCCCCACAUGGUGAAAGGUUGGUAAAGGGGUGUAUGUGGUUGGUUAUGGGUUGGGUUCUACAUAUACAUGAAAUAUCUGAUCUGAUCUGUUAUGGGCCUAUGGGCUUAAUUCUGUAUAUUGUUCUGGGCUAAGGCCAAUCUAUUCUGUUUUUGUGGUUUGAGCUGAUACGGGCUAUGGUUGGGUUAAUUUUACACACUGAGUUUCCGCAAACUCAUCGCCUAUCUUCAUCCAUGCAGGUAAUCCCCAACCAUAAUGGGCUUGGAGCUGCGAGGGAUUCGGAGUGGCCACUCGUUCUGCAAUAAGGAUUUCUUCUGGUGAUUUGGAAUUCAAUUUUCUUUACUUUGAUGAUUUGGGUUUUGUUAUGUAAUAAGGCAACUUAUGAUUAUUUUUUUUGGGGUUUUGAUUUAUAACGUAUCAUGAUGAUCUUAAAUUAUAUUAACUAUCAAAAUGGGCUAGAUCUAGCGUUCGUUUUCAAAAACCAUAAAUUGAUUUCAAAGUAACACGAUCUCGAACAAGGCUUCUACUGUGAUAACGUUUUCCCAAAAUUAAAUAUGUUUUAUUUUAAAAUGAACAUAAUUACAAAGGUAACUUAAGGAAAUACACGAUGUUGGAGUGUGGCAAUGGUGGUGUGCAUGUCUAGGAUUGGAUCCGAAAGAGCUUGGUACUUAAGCAGUCCGAUGGACUCACCUCCUCUUUUCCGGUUUCCUACCUGGUGCACAGCUUCCAUUCACUUUAACCCUUAAUGAAUUAAACCUUUGAACAUCAAGUACGAUUUUCUGAACUUAGAAUAGAAAAAUGUUUUUAACGUUUUUGAUGUGGCACGUCGGAUCCGAUCAUAACGUCUAGGCCGAGUUUGGGGUGUUACAUUUAGUGGUAUCAGAGCCAAGUUGCGACAACUCAGCUGUGGAAUGGGUUUACAAAAAUAAAGAUUUUUAAAAAAUCAGUUUUUAAAAUCUGGACUUCUGAAGGUGGCAUUCCGAAUCUCCGGCCCAUGCAUUCUUACUUGAAAUUUUUACGUGCAGGGGACACACAGUUGGACAACACACCCAUGGGGCUGAUCGUAUGCUACACACGACCUAGACACACACCCGUGUCUCUACCCGUGUAGACAAUAUAGGGAUCUAGCAAGCCCUUUGCUACCCUGAAACACAAUAUAACUACUUGAUUUCUCAAUUCAACAACCACAUCUAAGGCAUAUACACAUUUCAUAUAUAUACCAAAGCAACCAAUGAAUUACUCAUUCAUGAAAGAACCUCUUAUAUUCAUAUAACAACCUUCAACAUUAGUCAUUUUCCAUGGCCUAAUACAAAAUGGUGUCAAUUACUAAAACAAGUCAACACAUUUGGGCCCAAAACAAUGUGACACUAAACAAAAUCAAAGUUCCUAUACAUGCCAUAAUCAAAAUUUAAGAACUAAUUAUACCAAGUGCUUCGAUUUGAUAGUGUGAUCGAUGUCUCUGACGUCUGUUGAUCCACCAGCUAAUUGGGCGGCACUAUGAGAAAAAGGAAAAGAGAUGGAGUAAGCGUAAAGCUUAGUAAGUUGCAUGGAAAUAAAUAACAACUACUUUUCAUAAAGCAAUAUGCUCAUAACCUUUCAUAGUUUAUUUACAAAUACUUUAAAUAGACGUAAGUUCAACUUACUCAUCACCAUCUAAUACAAUUCAUAUUUCAUGCAUUGAGCCCAUAUCUCAUACAUUUCAAUUUGGUACCUGUACCACUCAUCACAUGAUCACAACUUUUCUCAUAUGGAUAUAAAUCAAUAAACCUUUUGUUGAACCAUUUGGAAUACUACUGGAUACUCAAUAGCCUGAACAUGGGCUAAGAUGUGACGCCAUGUCCCAAACAUGGUCUUACACUGGCUCUCAUCUAUCGGUGUCGAUGCCAUGUCCCUAACAGGUCUUACAUUGACACGCAACAAGCUAACACCAUGUCUCAGAUUGGUCUUACACUAGCUUGUCCAUUGUGAGGCUAAUGCAUGUCCCAGACAUGUCUUACACUAGUUCUUGUCUCAACACCGAUGCAUGUCCCAGACAUGUCUUACACUAACAAACAUAUCACCCAAUAUUACGGUACCAAUAUCCAAGUUUAUUCAAAAUGCUCAACGAAAGUCUCUACUAUUUCAAUUUCUCAACAUGUAUUCUCAUAUUCAAGAUCAAAGCAAUUAUUUCAUAUCAAUACAAAUGCACAUCAUAAAGAUAGAGUUGCAUUAUUAACAUACAACUUACCUCGGAUUACAAAAAGUAGGCGGCUAUUCGGUUUUAGUCUACUUGCUUUGUUUUCCCCCGGUCUAGGCCCAGAUUUUGCACUUCUUGAUCUAUAAUGAUGAAAAUUCAAAAAUUUAAUCAUUUUUUUAAUCUAGGUACUCAACAAUUUAAAAUUACAAAAUGACUAUUUUGCCCCUAGACUUUUGCAAAAUGAUCAUUUUACCCCUAGGUCCGAAAAUUGAUUUUUAUCAUAUUUUCUCGCUAACCAAGCCUAGCCGAUUACUUUUUAUACUAGAAGCAGUCCAAAAUUCUCAAUAUUUCACACAUUUAUCACCUAUUUUACAACUUAUGCAAAAUGGUCCUUUUUAGGGUUUUCAUGAGAAAUCUCUUCAUAAAAGUUGUUUAUUACACUACAAUAACUCAUAUUCUUCCAUAAAAUUUCAUAAAACAACAUGAACACACUCAUGGUAAAACCCUAAACUUUCAACCAUUUUGCAAAAUAGUCCCCUCAUUUGAAAGCUCAUGUUACUAGGGUUCUAAAAGUACAAAAAUCAUCAAGAAAAAUCCUCAAGAUCACUUACUUAUAGAGAGAUUAAGUGGUUGAAAAUUCCAACUUCAAAAACUCCUCUAAUGGCUAAUAUUUUCAGUCAAGAAGGAAGGGUGGAGAAAAAAGAUGAUAGCUAGGCUUUAGGGCAUUAUUUUAUUACAUAUUAUGUCAUCAAAUACCUAACAUAUUGACCAUUUAAUUUUCUUUGUCUCAUGACUGGCCAAGCUAUAUUCUAAUGGUAUAUUUUCCUUUAAAGACCCCCAAUUUAUGUUUCAUGGAAAUUUAACACCCUUAGCUAUCAAAUUAAGACUUUUGAACUUUAUGAGAUUUAGUCAUUUUCUCAAUUAAGCUCACAAACGCUAAAAUUACUUCACCAAAUUUUUCAUACACUAAUAUAAACAUGUUAUAACUCUAAAAUAAUAAUAAAAUACUUUCUCUGACCUCAGAUUAGUGGUCUCAAAACCACUGUUCCGACUAGGCCCCAAAGCAGGCUAUUAUAUUUGGAGUAAUUAUUUAGUAUUUUAAAGGUUAAUUAUGUAAAUUGGUUAAUAAAGGUUAAUUAAAUAAAAAAAUGAAUUUAUUCAUGCAUUCAUCUUCUUGAAACUGAUUCUUUAUUGGAAAAUAGAGCUAGGGAUUCAACAACUUUAUUUCCUUCAAUUAGGUAUGUGUUUUGUCUCGAUUUUUAAUGAUUUUUAUGUUUUCGAGAUCGUUGCAGCUUAUUCUAGCUAGUCCAGGGACUAAUUUUCAAAACUGUUAAAGAUUUAUCAUGUUUUCAUUGUUGAAUGCUUGAGUAAUUUGAUGAUUUGUGAUAGAUUUGGAAGGUUUAAUGUUAGAUUAAUAGCUUUUGUAAAGUGAUUUUUGACAAAAAUGUCAAAAAGGGAUUAAAUUGAAAAAAUGUGAAAUGUGGUGGUUAAAAGUGUGAAUAAAUUGAAAAUAUGGGCUGCUAGUAACAUGUAUUAAAUUUGGCUAAGCAUGGGAUUAUAUUAAAUUGCAUGAAUUUGCAAUUUUAUGUGAUAAGGACUAAAUUGUGAAAAUGUGAAACAUUAGGGACAAAUGUGUAAAUUUGUCACAUUGUAAAUUAUAGGCUAAAUUGAAUUGACUGAAUGUUGAAUGUGCUAAAUUUGAUAAUAUAUAGAUCAAGAUAAGCUGAGAUCAGGAUUAGAUCGGGGAAAAGGAAAAGUGGACAAAUAGUCUAUAAUUUCCAUCCGAGCAACUCGAGGUGAGUUCGUAUAAUUAGUAUCAAAUUUUUAAAUACUUUUAAAUUAUUUGAAAUAAAAUUAUAAUUUAGUAAAUGGUAUUACGGAUUUUGAAUGCCUAAUUGAUGAGAAUUAUUGAAUACUGAGUCUCGUUUGAACAGUAGAAAGUCGUAGUAUACGAGUGACACGUCACUAGGGUUACUAUUUUGGUUGAGAUCCUACAUGUGUUGCGGACUCACCACAGCUUGUAUGAGCUUACCGAUAUAUCAGCUUGUAAGAGCUUAUUGUUUUUAGCUCGUCAGAGUUUACUGUUUCAGCUCAAUAGAGCUUACUGUCCAUCAGCUCACGAAGAGCUUACUGAUCAUAGCCCGAAAGAGAAAAAAUGAUAAUGAAUUGACGGAUUACUGAUUUAUAUACAUAAUGUAUAUCAUCCAAGUUCCUCGAUAUUCUAAAAGGUUCAACGGGCAUAAAUUAUGUUAUUUGUUAUGUGAAAAAGCUAUGUGUUUAUAUGGAUGAGUUGCUGUUAUCGAAUGAAUAAUUGUUUAUGUGAUUGAGAGUGAAAUGUUACAAGUGAUAUACAUGAUAUAUGAAUUUGAUAUGGUACAAUGUAUUGAGUAUUAAAUUGAAAUAAUGGAUGAUUAUAUGCACUUAUGUGACAAUGCUUGUGUUUAGGCAUAUGGUAAUUGAAUUGAGUAUACCUUAUUUAUUGUUUUGAUUAUGUAUAAAUGGUAAUUUUAAUUCUGAAUUAUACGGGCUUACUAAGCUAUAAAGCUUACUGCGUUUCUUUUCCGUGUUUUAUAGAGGUUCGAUAGCUCGCUCGAUUUGGAUAAAGCCGGAGAUACGCAUCACACUAUCCAAUUGUCGAUUAGUAUCUUUGAACUUAUGGAUAUAUGUAAAUAUGGCAUGUAUAGGCUAGUUAUAAAGAUGAUAGUUAUGGUUACUUGAGCUAGUGAUUUUGGUACAUGUUGUGGUAUAGGAUAAAAACAUGUGUUUUGGCUUAACUUGGUAUAAAAUGUGUAUGAAAUGUUAUGGAUUAACUGCCUAUUGAGUUAUAAUAUGUUGCAAAUUAUGCUUGUGCAGGUAUGUAAAAAUAGGGUGGCAAAUUGGCUUAGUAAAUAGCCUAUUUUUGUUCAUACGGGCAAAGACACGGGGGUGUAUCUCAGCCGUGUGUGACACACGAUUGUGUUGGACGGCUGUGUGUCCCCUGGUGUGGUUUUAGAAAUCAAGUCAGUAUGCUCCACACGGCCUCACACAUGGGCGUGUGACUUGAUCGUGUGGCAUAAGUCAGUAUACCCUACAAGUUUGGCACGGCUUAGCACACGACCUGUCACACGAACGUGUGUGGCUAUUUUUAGGGCACACGGGCUAGCCACAUGGGCAUGUGUAUUGGCCGUGUGACACAAGUCAGAGAGUUACACAGGGUUAGACACGAGCUGGGACAUGGCCAUGUGCUCCCACUUCGAAUGUCCACACGACCCGUGACACGGGCGUGUCUGGUGGCCGUGUGUCUUACCUGGUCACACGAGCAUGUGUCCCCAGUUUUGAGAAAAUUUUUGCAAGUUCUUGAAAGUUUAAUAAGUUAUCGGUUUAGUCCUAAACCUCUCCUAAAGCAUGUUUUGGGCCUCGUAGGCUCGUAUAAGGGACAAAUUGAUUGAGAUUGAAUGAUAAAUGCUUGACUUGAGAAAAUGUAUGCUAAAUGGAUGUUUAAUUGUUUUGUAAGUUUGGUACUGCUCCGUAACCCUAUUAUGGCAUUGAAUACGAGUGAGGAAUGUUACAUGUUUCAAGAACAAGUUGUUAAAAGUAGUUGCAGAUCUAUCAGUAUAUUUACUAACCUAAGUAGUUGAGAUGUGUUUAAUAAAUCCCUAUUAUUAAGGGAUACUUGGUUAAAUUUUGAAUUGAUGUUACCUUAUGAUUAGGAAGUUAUUUUGUGGCUGCAAAUUUUUGAAGUUUUCUCAUUGGCAAUAAAAUUAUGAGAAAUAGUUUUUUUCAUCUAAAAAAACACUUCUAUUCUCUUCAUUUGGUAUCCGAGCUAGGUUGUAGGGAUCUAAAAACAAGUAUUUUUCAAGGAAGUGAUAAGAGUAUGACAACAUAAGGCAACUUUUUUCAGCCUAAAAUCCCAAAGCUCGAUGGUCAUUAUGAUCACUGGGCGAUGCUCAUGGAAAAUUUUUUGCGGUCCAAAGAAUACUGGAGCUUGGUGGAGCAUGAAAUUACUAAAGCAAGUGAAAAAAGUAUUCUUACUGAAGGAUAAAAGAAGGCCAUUGAAGAUUAAAAACUCAAAGACUUGAAGGUGAAGAACUAUAUUUCUCAAGCAAUUGACAGAUCAAUCUUAGAGACUAUGUUAAACAAAGAUACGUCAAAAAGCAUUUGGGACUCCUUGAAGCAAAAAAUCAAGAGACGGCCAGGGUGAGGUGAGCACAACUGCAGGUGCUCAAGAGAGACUUCGAAACUCUUCAAAUGAAAGAAAGAGAAUCAAUGAAUGAAUACUUUGCUCGAACUUUCACCAUAGCCAAUAAGAUGAGGACUAUGAGAGAUGUCAAUGUCAUUGAGAAGAUCUUGUGAUCUAUGACGAAGAUAUUUAACUAUGUUGUUUAUGCGACUGAGGAGUCAAAUGAUAUUGAUACUCUAACUAUUAAUCAACUGCAAAGUAGUUUGUUGGUGUAUGAACAACACAUGACUAGUCCAGUAACUGAAGAGCAAACCUUAAAGGCCACACAUGAAGGGAAACCAAGAAGAGCAAGAGGGCGAGGUUGUGGAAGUUUUCGUGGUCAAGGAAGAAGCUCAUCAAGUUUUCACGAGUCCAUUGUGGAAUGUUAUCAUUGCCAAUAACUUUGGCAUUAUUAAUAAAAAAAUGUCUAAGUAAACAUAAAAAAGCUAAUUUUGCAGGAAUGGAAGAAGAUAUGCUUUUGAUGGCAUAUAUGGAGAGUGACCAAGCAAAAAGGAAAUAAGUAUGGUUUCUUGAUUUUGGUUGUAGUAAUCAUUUGUGUGGUAAUAAAGAAUUGUUUUCUAAGUUAGAUGAAAAUUUUAGAGAUAGUGUAAUGUUUUAGAAUGAUUCUAGCAUAGAGGUAAAAUGAGAAGGUAAUGUGAGGUUAUAGUCAAAUAAAAUAUCACAGACCAUUACAGGAGUAUUAUAACUGUCUAAGCAUUGGUCAACUAUAAGAAAUGGGACUAGUAGUCUUAUUUCAACAGGGAAGUUACAAGAUUUAUCAUCUGGAGAAAGGUUUAAUUUUGGAAACAACAAUGUCUUCAAAUAGAAAUUUUUUUUUUAUAGCCGGAGUCUCAAUCGAAUCUGUCAUCUUGUUUCUACACCAUCACCAAAGAUCCAGCUUAAUUAUGGCAUUGCAAAUAUGGUCAUCAAAGUUUUAAUGGUUUGAAGACUUUCAAACAAAAUUAUAUGAUCAAUGGACUGCCUCAACUCAAGACUCCCUUCUGUGUUUGCAAAUAAUGUUCAGUGGGAAAACAAAUGAGAGAUUCAUUUCCAAAAAAAAAGCACAUGUAUAGCAACUUAGGUCUUGCAGCUUGUUCAUGUUGACAUAUGCAACAUAAUCACACCCAUUUCGAAUGGAAAAAAAGUACUUAAUCGCUUUUAUUGAUUAUUAUAGUCGUAAAACUCAGGUGUACUUCUUAGAAGAAAAAUCACAAGCUUUUGAUACCUUUAAGAAUUUUAAGAAGCAUGUGGAGAAAGUAUCAAAUUCAUUUAUAAUGUGUUUACGAAUUGAUAGAAGUGGUGAAUUUAUAUCUAAAGAAUUUAUUGCCUUUUGUAAUGAGAAUGACAUUUGUAGACAAUUGACAGCCACGUAUACACCACAACAAAAUAGGGUCGCGGAAAAGAAGAACAAAAUCAUUAUGAAUAUGGUUCAUUGUAUGCUUUAUAAAAAGAAAAUGCCAAGGAAUUUUUGGCCUGAAGUAGUAAAUUGGGCAAUCCAUGUGGUAAAUCGGUUUCCAAGACUUGUAGUGAAAGAUAAGAUUCUAGAAGAAGCAUGGAGCAGGAUAAAGCCAUCAAUUUAAUACUUUAGAGUUUUUGGAUGUGUCUCUCUUUUCCAUAUUUCUGAUAAAAGAAGAACCAAGUUGGAUGAAAAAAGUGUGAGUUGUAUUUUACUUGGAGUAAACGAAGAAUCUAAGGCAUAUAUGCUAUACAAUCCAACUGCUCAGAAAAUUAAUGUGAGAAAAGACCUUUUCGAAGAGGAUAAAAGUUGGAAUUGGGACUCAAAGUAUGAGGAAGUCAUAUCAAUCAAUUUGGAGUGAGAAGAUGAACAAAAUGAAGCUGUCAAUGUAGAGAAAGAUGAAGUGGAGCGACUGAGAGAUUAUUUGAGUGGAGAAGGGCUUUUUGAAGAAAAAGAAGAAGACAUGACUAAUCUAGUUAUGUUUGCAGCCGCCGAUCCCGUAUGUUUUGAAGAAGCUGUGAAGAAUGAAAACUGGAGAAAUGCCAUGGAUUUGGAGAUAAAUCUAUAGAGAAGAAUGAGACUUGGGAGUUGAUAGAUUUACCACAAGGAAGAAAGAAAAUUGGUGUGAAAUGGGUGUACAAAACAAAAUUCAAUGAGAAAGGGGAAGUAGAUAAACAUAAAGCAUGGCUCGUCGCGAAAGGUUAUGCUUAGCAACAUGGAAUUGAUUACAAUGAAGUUUUUGCACCUAUAGCAAAAAUGGAUACUAUCAGGCUCAUUCUAUCACUUGCAUCACAAAUGAGCUAGGUUGUUUAUUAGUUGGAUGUAAAAUCAACCUUUUUACAUAGUGAAUUAAGUGAAGAAGUGUUUGUUGAGCAGCCACAUGGUUAUGAAGUUAAAGGAAAUCAGUAACCAGUGAACAAACUAAAAAAAGGCUCUAUAUACGUUGAAGCAAGCUCCUCGCGUUUGGUGUAGUCACUUAAAAUCAUAUUUUUUGAAAGGCGAUUUUGAAAAGUGUCCUUAAAAGCCUACUUUGUUAAUCAAGAGAAGCACAUGAGGUAAAAUUUUGAUUAUAAGCUUGUAUGUUGAUGAUCUUGUAUAUACUAGAAAUGAUGACUUUAUGUUUGUUGAUUUUAAAAAAUCCAUGAUAUGUGAAUUUAAUAUGACUGACUUAGGGAAAAUGAGGUGCUUUCUUGGAGUUGAAACGAUGCAAAUGACCAAUGGUUUAUUUAUCAGUUAGAAGAAGUAUGUGCUUGAAGUAUUAGAAAGGUUUGAUAUGGACAAGAGUAAUCAUAUUCAUAACCUUUCUAUUCCAGGAGAAAAACUUCAAAAGGAUGUAGGUGUUCUACAAGUAGAUAGUAGGAAGUCUUAUGUAUUUAAUUGCUACAUGGCCAGAUGUUAUGUCCUCUGUUAGUCUUAUUUGCAAAUACAUGGAACAACCUACAAAGAUACAUUUGCAAGCUGCAAAGAAGAUUUUAAUGUACUUAAAGGGGUCAGUUGAUUAUAGAGUGUUUUAUAAUAAUAAUAAAAAGAGAAAAACUGGAAAUUGUUGCAUACAUGGACAGUGACCAUGCAGGAGAUUUGGACGAUCGAAUAUGUGUUUCUCUUUAGUUCCGAUGUUGUAUCUUGGUCAUCUAAGAAGCAACAUGUAGUAUCAUUGUCUACUAGAGAAGUAGAAUUCAUAGUAGCAACUGCAUGUGCCUGUCAAGUGGUUUGGUUGAGAAGGCUUUUAGACAAGCUUAGCUUUAUACAAGGCAGACCUACAAUUGUUUAUUGUGACAACAACUCAACAAUUAAGCUUGCCAAAAAUCCAAUGAUGCAUGGAUGCAGCAAGCACAUUGAUAUGCACUUUCAUUUCCUCUGUGAGCUCGCACAAGAUGGUACAAUACAAUUGGUUCAUUGUAGCACCCAAGUGCAAGUUACAUAUGUGAUGACAAAACCUUUGAAGCUUGGAGCAUUUGUGAAGCUGCGCCAGCUAAUGGGAGUGUGUUCAUUGCUAAAGAGAAAUUGAUUCCUUAAUAAAAAUCAAUUUAAGGGAGGAUGUUAAAAAUAGUUGCAUAUCGAUUAGUAUAUUUACUAAGUUAAGUAGUUGAGAUAUGUUUAAUAAAUCCCUAUUAUUAAGGGAUAAUUGGUUAACUUUUGAAUUGUUGUUACCUUGAUUGGGAAGUUAUUUUGUGGUUGAAGGUUUUUAGAGUUUUUCUAUUUUUUUUUGUAAAAAUUAUAUAUUAGUUGUUUUCUCAUUGGUGAUAAAAGUAUGAGAAAUAGUUGUUUUCAUCUAAAAGAACACUUUUAUUCUCUUCACAAGUUGCCACGACCCUUGGAUCAAUUCGCAUCAUUCCAAGAUCAACUCAAACAUCCCUUAUCUCAAAGUCAAAUCGAAGAGAAGAAAUAAAGAAGAUUUUCUUUGUAUUUAAGAGAUUUCUAGAGUUAGUAACAAUAUGUUCAAACUUAUUAAUAAAAUUUGAAUCCAGAUUUUCAAGUUAACUUUCGACUCAUAAUUUGUGUGUACAAUAAUUUUUCAUGAUUUUUAAAAAUUUUUAAAUAUUUUUUCUUGUUUAUUAUUAAUUAAUAUUUUAAACUUUUCUAUAUAGUUGAAUCAAAGAUGAAAUGGGUUCCACAUUGAUUAAAACCUAAGGCAGUUGCUCGAUAACCAAGAACGAUGCAAUAUUGGAAUCAGUUUAUUACAAUAAAACUUUAGGCUUUGCUUCUGUUUGGUCGGAUGUGAAGGAAAUCGGAAACACAGAAAAAAGAAAGAGUAGAGAAAGAGAAAGAGAUAAAAUAAAAAUUUUCUUGGAUAGGAAAGAUGAAAUAAUUGAAAUAAAAAAUAAAUUUAUUUUCAUUCAUUACUUAAUAGAAUUGAAAAAUGAGAGUAAAAAAAUAAGGCGUAUCUCUUUGUACGAUUAAUAUUUUAACGAUUCAAUUAUUGAAUUUAUCGAAAUAAUUGUACUUAUCAUGCAUGUAAAAUUUUAAAUUAAUUUGAUAUCUCUAUCAUAUCGAUAUAAAAGACCAUAUAUAUGUAUUAAUUUUUAUUAAACUAUUGAAAGUUUUCUUUACAUAAAAUAAAUAGUUUUAAAUUUUUAAUUGGUUGAAUUAUUAAUAUUAAUAAUACAAAGAGAUACAAAAGGGUGUAAAGCCACAUCAGUUGAUAUAAUUGAAUUUCUUCUCAAAAAAAUUAAUUUUUUAAAAAUUAUAUAAUUUUGAAUUAACUUGCAUAUUUCUCUCUCUUACCAAUUUAAAAUUAUUAAUUUUUAUAAAGAUUUUCUUACCAAACAAACUAAAAAUUGAUUUAUUUUUUCACUCAUUUUUUCUAUCUUCGGUCAACCAAGCCUUUGGCUUGAGAUAAUGGUGAAUGAUAGCUAAGGAUUUGUGCUUUAUAUGAUGCUUGGAUUGACUGGAUGAAGUAGAAUCCAAUAUCCCAUUUAUAAAACAGUACACAGUAUAAGAUCUUAAAUAUUCUUUCCCUGAUUGCAUGGAUAAUUCUACAUAGACUAAACAACACCACCUUUAUUUAUUUAUUCAUUUCCUUCAAAGUAGAUUUCAUUGUUAAUGGCAUAUAAUUCAACUCAUAUAAGAUGAGGGUCGGUCUGAUAUUGUCUUCCCAAAGUGUCACAAAUAAACACUUUAUUUGAUUCCAUAUUGCCCUCUUCAUUGUUUCAACCAAGUGAAUACAUAUCUUACUUUAAAUUCUAUUUGUCAAUUUCCUGAAACUUCUAUUUUAUUUCUUUUAAAAAAAAUUUAAUUUAGAUUAAAUUUAGGUUAGAUCUAUGCAUAAUAUCAAUAUCAUAUAUUAUAUUUAAACUCACUAAUAUUUAUCAACCUAAACCUAUUUAGACUCAACCAAUUUUCUUUUUCUUUUUUACUUUUUUUUAAAAUAUAUUUAUGUUAUUUAAAAUUUAGUGAUUAUAUAUCUCAUUCUAUUAUCAUACAUAUUUUCUUUUAUUAAAUUUCUAAACAAAAACAAUUAACAUAGUUUAUAAUUUUACAUUGUAGUUAUAAUAUUUUUAAAUUACCUACGAUAUAAAUGAUAUAAUAUAUAUAUAUAAAUAUAUUGUAAACUUAAAAAUAAGUUAAGACGAAUUAAUUUUGAACUUAGAAAUUUUGAAACUAAUCUACUCUUAUUUAAAAUGGAUCUAAUAUUUUAUUUAAACCCUUUCAAAUUUUGAAUCAACCUUAAUCAAUAACUUACCCUUAAUGACAGUUUGGUUAACUAGAAUUGAAUAGGGCUAUAAUGGAAUAAAUCUGUAAUGAAAUAGAGUUGUAAUUAGUAGUUCAAUUGUUUAGUUGAAGAGAUUGGAAUAAAAGUGUAAUAGUAUUUGUCGAAACCAUUUUUUUGAAAACGGAAAAUCGACUUUUGAAAACGAAAAGUUGGGAGUCGCACCAAUCUUUUUUAAUUGAGUGUGAUUGGAUCACCUCAAAACACGGUCGUUUUUAAUAAAUAAAAAAAUUUUCAAAACGACAAUUUUGGUCUGCGAAAAUAGAAAAUCGUUCGGGAGUCAGUUACGUACGAGGAAGGAUUAGCACCCUCGACACGCCCAAAAUUGGUACUUGAUUGAUUAUUUAGUGUCUUAAUGUCAAAAAUUAAAGAUUUGGACAGAGUUCAAAACGUGAUCCUCCUUUUAUUGGCUUUUAAGACAUUUAGGUAAGUCAAAUGUGUAUUAAAGACCAUCUCACCUCAAGGUAAAACAUUACAUCCAGUACGUUAGGACGCAACAUUUUUGACCCUCAAUUGUGCGCUUGCCUUUAAAAGGUACGUUUUAGCCUUAAGAGGAUAUUCGAAUAUUCAAAAUAAACAAAGAAAGCAGAGCCCAGUACGUUAGGGCACGAUUCUUCGAAUUCUUUAAAUACCGAACAUUGUCUUUAUUUUGAAAUCUUUUGAGAGUGCACUAGGAAGAGGUUAUUCGAAUAUUCAAGACCAACAAAGAAAGCGAAACCCAGUACGUUAGGGCACAAUCCUUUGAGUUCCAUAAAUACCGAAAAUUGCCAUUAUUUUAAAAUUGAUUGAAAAUAAAUCAUUGAAUGAACGGAUUUGGGUAAUUUAAAAGUUUAAGAAACAUGAUAGUAUGCAACAUAAAAAAUAACAAUAUAAUAAUAGACUUGAUAGUGCAUGUAUUAACACCUAAAACAUAAUAACCGUAAGGAGAAUUAAUAAUAAUAAUCAAGACCAUAGUAAAAAAAGAUAACAUAAUAAACAUAGCAAUAAUGAUAUUAAUGAUAUAAAAAUACAUAAUGGGAAUAAAAAUAACGUGUUAAUGAUGAUAUUAAACACAAUGAUAAAAGUAAAAUUAAAAAACCAUACUAAAUUAAGACAAAUAACAAUAAUAAUAUAGUAAAAAAAAAUGGUAAAAAUAACGGUGGUAAUUUUUAACAAAUAAUAGAAAUAAUAUUAUAACAUGAUAAGACUAUUAAUAAUUACACUUAAAGGGAGAACGAAUAUAUAUAUAUAUAAUAGUAUAAGUAAUAAUAAGAAAAAAGUAAUAGUAAACAGUAGGAAUAAUAAAAAAAGGUAUAACGAACUAUAUUUAAAAUAGUUAACUUUUAAUAAAAUAUAUAAAAAGAUUAAUAAUAAUAAUAUAAUGAUUUAAAAUAAAUAGUAAAAAAAAUAGUAAAACAAACGUAAUGUAAUAAAAAUAAUAACUAGUGGUAUAAUAAAAAUAGUAUAACAGAUAAUAGGAUAAAAAGGGAAAAAAAUAAUACUACAAUUAAUAGUAGAAUAUAAUAAAAUAGUAAUAAUAAAAUAAAAACUAAAAUAAUUAAUUUUAUGAUAGAAGUGGCUAAAAUAAUAGAAAUAGGGCGUAAUUGAAAAUAAAACGGGAUUUUUGGGGCCAAAACAAGAGAAGUGGGGAAUCAAACGCAGAAUUUACCCAUGAGGGCAAAAAAGUCAUGGGUCAACCCACCUUAAACGGUUCCGUUCCCAUGGGAUCAAAUAUCCCAAAACCUUAUUAUUUUGUUUGUGGCUCAUUUGAGCCAAAAUCAUAGGGAGAAAAGAGGGGUUUUCCCCUUUUCCCUCCGCAAGGGCAUAGAUCGCCCAUCGUCGCGGCUCCACCUUCCCCAAAUGCACACCGCGGUGGCCGACGAGCCAGGUAAGGCCCUCUUACAAUCCUUUUUUAUUGUUAUUUUUAAAAACUUUGUUUUACUAUAAGAAAAAAAGAGAAAAAAAAGAAGCAAAUUCGUAACAAGGGGUUGAGGAUUAAAACUCGAAAAAGAAUAAAAAAUCAUAAUCACCUUUGUUUCUAUUGGGUCGUACUAAAAUAUUAGUCAAAAAAUCUGCUAUAUCUCUCCGUAAUUUCUCUUUAUUUCCAAAAAAAAUCCCCCAAUUACAGUGUUUUCAAUGGCUUUUUAUAGCCUAGAAAUAAAAUGAAAAUCUUCUACUGUUGUUUGCCUUUGCAGAUAUCUCGGAGGCGUGGGAGCGUGGCAUGGAGUAGCGCACGAUUCGGAAGCUUGGCGCGCAUCGUACGCUGCUUGGACUCGAAGCUUGCGGCGCCGAUUUCCUUCUGCUGCUGGGGUUUUAGGUUGGCUUUAUGUUUUGUGUAUUGGGUUGAGAGAUGUGGGAUAGGUUUUGGGUAAUCUGUUGGGCUUUAGGUCUGUUUUGUAUUGGGUUUUAAUAGGUGUUUUUAUAUUUGGGUUUAGUUUUUUAUAUUUAAUUUUGUAUAUGUGUGGGCCUGGGCAUAAAUUGGGCUCAACAGUAUUUUUUAUUUAGUUAAAUGGAAUAGAUGUCAUAAUAACAUAAAAAAAGAAAACUAAAAUGAGUAUAGUACCCUUAGCAAAAAAAUUUUUAGAUAAAUGAUUAUUUUU
rnacentral:lncRNA from 1 species